UUUUGGGCGGGGGCUGAAGCCGUAUCUCACUAGAGUGGCUGAUGUAGUAAAUUAGUGGGUGUUAGUAGGGUUACUAUAGGAAAUACCAGUAUACAACACUUUCACGUGUCUUUUUCAAAAACAUUUCCCUAUUUAGUUUUUUUUUCGCUUUUAAUUUAUUUCCGAAAUUCUUUGAUUAUGUACAUAGUAUUAAGCUCUCUGCCUCACAGUUGCCAUAGUGGAAUCGAAAAUUCAAUUGAUUUAAUUUCAUCCUUAUCUCUGUUGUUUAUUACCAUUGAACCAGUCUCCUCCACUCGUUUGAUACAAAAUCAAAUACCACGUUGGUCACAAGUGGGAUAUGCUUGUAUUGAUUUGAAUUAAUGAGCAUAAUAAUUAUGAUUGUUGGAAUAGUUUUUUGGGUGGUUGAAACGACCGAGUAUUGGAUGAGUUAGUUGAACUGAAUAUGAAUGAAUUGAGUCUUUACAGAAACGGCGAACGCGGAGUGGGUCAACUGGGGCGGGUGGGUGGACGGCAAUGGGGGCGUUGAACAUACGCAACAAGGAAGUAAAAGAAUCAGUCUUUGGCAUUGUAAAGUGCAAGUUGCAAAUUGGGAUGCAACAACCGCGUGAAGGCCGACGACGACGACUCGCCCACCGCGUCACUCGGCACUACAGUACUGUUAUAAAAUUACUUAUCACGAAACUGCCAAGGCUGGCUGCUAGUAGCUGUAUACAAUGCAUCUAGCUAUCUCCUGAAUGUUGUCUUUUUCUACUUCUUUAGAGAAUGGAUUGAAAGUGAUAAAAAUGGAGUUGUACAGCGGAAGAGGGCAAGAGGCUGCCGACCGUAAUUUACGUUGUGAUCUGUCUUUGAUUCGAAGUGGCGGUGAGAGACAGAUCAUCUGAGCUGACAACUGACAACAAAUUAAAGGAAUUGUGAAAUGAGGAUCGAGGAAAGUGGGUGGAAUGAGCGACGAUUACCAUGACAAGUGUCCUAACCUUUUACAUUAUAUUACAACCUAACUACUACUGAUCCUUCUCGAAACUGGAAUUUCCCCUGCACUUUUAAGGCUUCCUUUUGUCGUGCCUAAUUUCACAAAAAAUUGUCUACUUACAUACCAGGUUGGACUCGUAGGUACCAUACACAUGCGGAAAUGUGUGUAACAUGUACUGGUAUAUACUUGAAUACAUCGGUGUAUACGAAGUAUGUGGUAGAUGAGUAUGUAUUAUACAAAGGUGUUUAUACAUUCGUGCAAGGCUCCUAAGGUUUGGUAGCGUCGACUUGUAGCAGCUCAAAAGUUGGCCAACCUCAAUUCAGAGAAAUAAAUGGCUGAUUUGGCGUGACACGUGUUUAAUUUAGAAUCUUCUGAAUAGCUUAUAAAUUUGAAAAGCAAACUAAAAUAGCAUAAAAUUAGAGGCUUUUGUGCUUCGAUGGUGAACCAAGCCCGCGAGGAGUGGAGUGGGUGUCACGAUAUUAUUGGGACACGUGGGUAUGAGUCGUGUAGAUAGAGUCGCUAGUAAAAUAGGCUGCGCAUGUGUCGUGCUGGAUUCAAUCUCCACGUGAUUAAAAUAAAACUUCAAUUUGGCACAUGUCCAAAGUAUAAAUCCAACUAAAAGGAUAACCAUGAAAGAUUAGAACGAUCUAUCUUUGUAAAAUGGACAACACGUGGUCGUGCAACGCUAAUUAGUACGUCACGAUAAGUUAGAUUAGGAAUUAAGCCGCCAUUAAAAAAGCGGCAGAGCAAUAUUAGAUAGAUGCCGGCAACUGGCCGAAUUAACAAAUCCUCAGGGUUAAUUUAAAUUAUGACGAGGUGCUGAAUGCAUAAGAUUAUUUGAUUUGGGUUAAUUUGCAGAAUUUACUUACUUUGGCCCGGUCUUGCCGGCCGGGAGCCUAGGAAGGAAGAGAUGAAACAUACAAACGCAAGCUUAAAAGAUAUCGGCGGCAAAGGGGCAGCCGCCAUGUGCCGACUAAAGAGAAGUCAAAGUCACAAAAAUCCUAUAAAAAUUAAAAUAAAAACAAUUUAUAUAUACUUUUGCCAAUUAAGCAAAGCAGCCGGUUCAUGGCGGGCCAGAGUUGUUUAAACCCAGUGAAAGCCCAGCUAUGAACUCUUACCACACCCAAGUUCAAAGGCUCAUCAAUCAAUCUACAUGAUCUAGUUUAAUAAGAUUUGAGUGAUCAACGGAAGCAAUAUCAUCAGCAAAUUAGAAGACACUAAGAUCAGAGCUCACCGAUAUAUAUAUAUAAAUGACAGAAUCAGGAGCCUAGUUAAUAUCGGAUAUAAGAGAUUAUAUUGGAACAUUGUCCUCGUUUGAUCAUCAGUGGACUUGGGAUAGAAGAUGUGAUUUUAAUGUACAGAAAUAAACAGCAACCGUACGUUUCACUGUCUUCAGCUGCAGGGAUCCAAAUUUAAUAAUAUAAUGCAGAAGUAAUUGAAGCUAGCUUAUGACUGUUCAAGUUUCUACAAGGCAUCUGAAUCAGAUUAGGAAACAAAUGUAUUGUGUUUUCACAUGAUCAUCUUGUUCUAAAUGGGACACCUUUGAACUCCAAAUGAAGUAGUACUGGGGCUGUUUCCCUGGGGAAAAAUUUGUAGUAUGUAAUAUGAAGCUGAAUGAAGUACUGUCUAAUUUUACCAGGAAUUUUUUGGAGCAUCCUUCCUGUAGUUACACUGAUGCGCUUUGUGUCCAGUCUUGCCACACACGUAACAGCCGCCAUCAGUUCUUACACCAGAGCUGCUCUUCUUCAAUGUUGGAGUCUUUUUCCUUUCCCAUGGAGCCUUCUUUCCUCCGAUUCCCUUAGCUUUGUAGCUGCCCUUGACAGAAUCCAAAGUGGUUUGUUCUGGUUUCGCAUUCAUCCUGAUGGCCUCCUCUAUCCUUAUGUGGCUCGCAACUUCAUCCAGAGUCAUGUCUCUCUUCUUGUGUCUUAAUUUGUUCUUGUAGUCAGACCAUGACUCAGGCAGCUUUUCAAUGAGGACUUUGGCUUGCAUCACCUCUCAGAUAUCCGUUCCUUCAGCCAGAACCUCAGCAGUGAGGUUCUCGUAAUGAUGCAUUUGCUCCAUGAUAGGCUGCUUGUCUUCCACCAUUUCAAACUUCAACCAAUUUCCGACUGCGGUUCUCUUUCUCCGUGCAUCAUCAGCUCUGUAUUUCUUGAUUAGCGACUCCCAAAUCGUUUUAGCUGAUUCGACAGACAAGAACAUGUCGAGAAUAGGAUUCGACAUGUGACUGAGAAGAUGGCCACGAGCUGUCUUGUUGUCUUCCUCGAACUUCAUGGCUUGAUCAGUUGAGCUUGCUACGGCUGCAGGAGGGUCUGAGGUCAGGACACGAUCAACUUCGAGCACCUCCAGGGAAAUAAGCAUUCUCUGAGACCAUCUCCUGAAGUUGGUUCCCUCGAGGGGCUCCAUCUUGCUGAUGUCUGGUAAUUAAGAGAAUAGCUUCAAAAUUGUAAUCUGAUGACUAAACAAGAAACCAACUCGAUCAAUAUAAUUCAAUGAGAAACAACAACAGAGUGUAAAAAAGAAACAAGAAACCAACUUGAUCAAUACAAUUCAAUGAAGAAGACGUCUAUAUUUCUGUAUUUUCUCAGCUACUGCAGAUUCUUCCACUUAUGUAAGCAGCUCAACGUGCACUAGUAAGAGAAGAUCAUGAUCAUGAUCUUGAUCAACAGAAUCACACUUCUUCUGCAUAUAUAGAUGAGGGAUCAUGGCCAGAGAUCAGGGGGGUUGUUAUACUCCUUCAAUCCAACGUUCAGUUUUUCCCAACUAAUGUAGGCGUUUUCUAUAUACAGUCCGUUUUUUUUGCUUCGUGCAGUCCAUGAAUAGACUAAAUAUCCUUAGUUAAGAAUAAAUUAUUAAUACAGUCCGUAUCUACUUCGUGCAGUCGUUUUUUUCUAAUACACUUCAUUUUUACUUCGUGCAGUCCGUUUCUACUAAUUCAACAUGUUUUUACUUCUUAUAAUUUAUUUUUAUAAAUAAUAUUUUGAAAAUAUAUUUAUCUGCAUCCCUCUCUACUUUCAUCAGACCACCCUCCACUUAGCUUUUAAACAUAUCUAAAGUCUCCAACUGCUUACAUUUUUUUUAUGUUUCUUUAGUUAGUUCAUCUAGUUAGUGAGUUGAAUAUUGAACCGUCCUAUAAGUUCGGAAUGGAUAACAUUUUAGUUCUGUAACUAUAAAAAAAAUGUAGAGAGCAGUUCGGUUUAUUCCAUGCUUGUUACGAUGCGAUACUAUUUAUGUUGACAGCCCAUUUUUCGACGAGAUUUUACCUCCUAAGCACUUUCACAUCGUAUUCUAUCACAAAUUAACAGCAGUUUUGUUCACUCAAUAUCAAUAAUGAUGCAUCAGCAGUAAUGUUGCAAAAAUUUGAGGCCCUUGUUCUAAUUUAGCCUAUAUACCAAUGCCAAUACCCAAUACAAACAACAAAUGAACUUUGAAAUCCCUAACCAAAUCCACAUGGUUCAGAAUAAACUCAUUAUCUACUAAUCCAACGAAGCUCAUCUCAACUCGAUAAGGUCAUCGAGUAGAUGAGCAACACGUCACACAAUUCAAUUCAUCCAUCUUCUCUCUCUUUCAACAGGUACGACUUCUUCGAUCAUUCACUUACUUUGUCCCCAAACACUACAAGUUAAAGAAAAUAACCAGCCACCAGAAUUCACUUUCAAUCAGGCUCGACUCCUUUAGCUUUUGAGCCAACUCAUGUCGAAUUGAGUCCAAUAUUGAACAUUUUUAUGAACCAAACGGCAGAACCAAUCACCAACGGGUUGAUUGGUUAACGCCACUAUUGAUUGAUUAAGAAACUUGUUAUUACCGGAGUAUUAGCUAGCUUGUUUAUUAUUUUGACUAAUCAGUAACAUAUUAUUAUCUAAAGACUGAAUACAUAAGAGGGUCAAAGCUUAAAAAAAUAAAGAAAUAAAGAAAAUGUCAUUAAACUUAUGGGCCUAAGAUCAAAAUCCUCACAUAGAACAACAACAUAAACUCUAACUCAAACCACAAAAAGAUUGCGGCCGUCAUCUUCUCUCUUGAAACUGUCGCCCGUCGGACUCAUGAAAAGUCACUGCCGAUCGGGAAAACAUCGGAAACCACUAAAGAGCACGUUUUCGACACUCCCCGAAAACAAAAAAAGGAGAAAAACUUCUUUUAAUUGAGGUCAUCUCUACCUCUAACUCAUCGAUCAGUUUCAUACAUGUACAUACUACAUAUUAGUUUGAAACUAUUGGUUGGUUGCAACAUGAAGGAAAGGGGAAGGGAGGUGAAGUGACAUAAUAGAAUUUGAGAAAGAAAGUGGAUGGAUGGAUGCCUUUUGUGUCACCUUCCACUUGUUGUUUCUAUUCUUAUGAGGCGACUUGUGUCUGUUAAUUCAAUUGUUGUUUCUAUUCUAAGUUGCAAAUAUCUGGACCCGCCAUAGACUCAUCCUAAGGCUCACAUUCAUUCUCCAACAAAUAUCCAACGGUGGCUCCUCACAUAAAAACAAACCCCAUGGACGCGAAAACACGGAGCCGCUCAUGCCUAGAGUUUGGAAGCAUUAUUUUAUUCCUUCUCAGCCCCCCAUAUUAAGGCUCUGUUUGUUUCCUGUUAUUUUUAUUUUUCUUAACAAUCAUAUUAUGAACUUUUUUAGUUAAAUAUAUUAGACCCCGAAUAAAACAUUAUUAUGGAGACAAGAGAAAAAUCAUACUAUAACCUGUUAUGAUCAAAGUAAAGUCAUUAGAUACCUAGUAAUGACAAAUGCUUGAUUAGUUUUUGUUAUUUAAAACCGAGUAGAAAAUAGAAGAAACAAACGGAGCCUAAAACUUUAGGAGUGCGUGGGUCCCAAGCACCCAAAAGAAACAAAAUCUUCACCGUUCAUUUCUCGAUCAAUCAAUCUGUCAUAUAUUGUUAACUGGACAAGAUUACGCCUUAACUUAACUACAGUUAACAUGUGGACCGUAGUUGGCGUGUGUCUUUAUUACUCUCUCACUCUCUCAGGGUUUCCCCUCAACAACACCAGCCACCUGCUUCCACUCUUCUCACUUACUUCGUCUUCAACACUAGAAAAUUAUAGAAAAUAAUAGGCCACCGGAAGAAAUUGAGGUCAUCGGAGGAGGAUGAGCUGCAACGGUUGCAGAGUACUGAGGAAAGGAUGUGGAGAGAAUUGCGUGCUGAGGUCAUCCCUCCGAUGGAUUCCCACUCCUCAAGCACAAGGCAACGCCACUUUGUUCCUCGCCAAAUUCUUCGGCCGCAGCGACCUCCUCUCCUUUAUCUCCUCCGUCCCCGAUCCUCAACGCCCCGGUACUACAAAUUAAUUUCUCCUUAUUCUUUUUUUUUUCAUUCUGAUUUUAUGAAAAUCACAAUUGAAUGCAGAAAUUCCAAUUUAGGCUAAUCCGAAUCAUGACGAGUUAUCUGUUUUCUUCUUUGUUGGGCAGCUCUGUUCCAGUCGCUGCUAUUUGAAGCGUGUGGGAGGACGGUGAACCCGGUUAACGGGGCGGUGGGGCUGCUGUGGAGCCGCAAUUGGCACGUGUGUCAGGCUGCGGGCGAGACCGUUCUCGCCGGAGGAUCCCUGCAUCCGCUUCCGGGAAUUGCGGCAGGGGUUGCGCCGCCGAAUUUCGACGAGUCGGAUGACAGCUGCUCCGCCGCCGGAUUCGCUGCUAAUCAGCUCCGCCCGGCGAUUUUGGCGAUUACUGGCGGGAAUCGGAAUCUAUCAUCGUCCUCCUCCACCUCGGAGUAUCGACGUCGUCAUAAUGCUGCUCUGGUCGGUGGUGGGAAUGAGAGGAGGAUUAAUAACAGAGAUGCGAGGGCGUCGUUUUUUGCGGAGGAAUCGGAAACGACGACAUUCGAGAGCACCGGCGGGGGUUGGGAGAAACUGGUGAAAACUUUUUUUUUUUUUGGAAGAAAAAAAAAAAAUUUGAGUAGAGAGGAGGAAAGAAAAAAGAGAAGCCGAGUUUUUGUCGGCAAAGGAAAGAACAAGACUUGAAUGCGGUUACUGGAAUGUGAACUGUACUUUGGGUUUCUGUGUUUUGUUUCUUAUGAACUUUAUAUGAUAAUAUAUAUACAUAAGAGAGAGAAAGAAAGAACGCCGGAAUGACAGUCCGGCGAGUUUUGGGUGAUUGCCGGGGAAUCUUUUGUCUGGCUUGUCUUUAUUUUUUCCACUUUUGUCUCCAUCCGUACAUUGAAUUGCCACUGCCAAUUUGUGUUGACAAGUGCUCCGCCUGAUAAUAGAACCUGUUCAGAUAUCUAUGUGGUUUCGCUUUUUUCCGCAACAUUUCCGUCUGAGGGGUCUGUUUCUCUGGUAAAUCCGCGGUAAUAACAAUAGCGGAACCAUAAUAAUUUGCGGCCCUCGACGAAAUUUCAAAUUCAACAGAUAAAUAGAAUAUUAUCGCUCUUGGAUCAGGACACCCUGCCAAUUUCGCCAUUAGUAAUAAUUGGAUUCUACAAAUGAAGCUUAUAUGUAUUAUGUUAACAACUUAAUAUUAACUCGUCCCGCAAAACCCAAACCAAUUACUAAUAUCUAAAAACGUUUUUUUAUUUGACCAAAAUAUCUAGAAACGUUUUUGUAAAAAAGUGGUAGGUGUCUAAAUAGGCUAGAGUGAAGUACACACUAAUAUCUAUCUAUUACGCUCGGAUAGUGUAAAGCUUCAUGUAUCAUUAAAUAAACGGCACAAUUAUUUUAUUUACAAAAAUAAAAAUUAUUGUUUUAGGGAUAAAAUAAACAAAUAAUCAAGCACAUCAAAUUACCCUACAUUUCAAACAUUUACUUGUCCUCGAGCAAGAACUACCGCUAAUCCUCAGAGGAACCAAACAUGGUGACCCCUAGGAACUAAUGCUCCCUGAUAUUGUUUUGCUUGGGGAAAAUGCAUUUGCGUAAUGAAGCUAAUUGGUUCCUACUUAAGUAAUCCAAUGAUCUUUGGCUUCAGUUCCUUGUUGUAUCAUCUACUACCACUAGUUGUGUACUAAACAAUUUGCUUUAGUUCCUUUCAAAAUGAAAUGUACUAGUUUUAAGCUAUUGGUACAACACAAAUGAUUCAAAGUUAGACCACAUGUUUAUAUGUUAUAUAUACCAAUUCUAUGCUAUAUAUAACAAACUUGCCAUGCAUACUUAAAUUUAUAAUGUUUACAUAUGGAUCACAACUAUUUGUUGUGCACUUCCAUUGAUAGAUCCUCCGUCGCAAUCUUUCAUUUUCCACUCCUUUUUUCAUAAUAUUGGAAACGUAACGUAAGCUAUUUUGAGUUGGAAAAUAAGCUGUUUGUCUCCUUUAUAAUUUUCACUUAGUUAUAUUAUUAUUACAGUCUCAGUUUUGAACGGUUGGGAUGAUAAGAAGCCUUCUUCUUUCGAUUGUGGCAGGGUAAGUAUUAUGCCAACUAUAUGUUUUCCUCUGACAUUCUUGUCUGCCCUGGUCAACAACAUGGAUGUGAAAAAUCCAGUUCGUGUCAUUUGAUGAUUAAGUUCGAAAGAUAAAGCUUGUGUUUCUAUCUAUGAUAUAUUGUACACUGUGGAGAGUGUCUGGCGGGAAAGAGGUGAUCAAUCGAAAAUUUGUGUUUAAAUCCAAGCUGCUUCGAAUUCCUACUCACCCUCAAGUGAACAUUGAAGGAGAUAAGAAGAAAAACGAAUGAAAAAAAGGAAGAGAUAGUAAAGUAUGCCACAUGGGAAGGAAAGAAGGACUAGCAGUCUUGGUUGUAAAUGGUUCGAAUGAUAAGAAACAUUUUCUUUAUAUCUCAUUUCAAAGUUACAUUCGGUUAAACACGAAGAAUAAUCAAUUUUAUGUUCCGUGACAUUACAAUACCUCUCAAUCUAAUAUAUACUAAAAGUGGAAUUCCGUUGUUUUUUUGAUAAAUAAGUGGGCUUCCAUUGUUGCACACCUCCACCACCAUAUGUUAUAUAUAACAAGGAAAUUGCGUGUGAUAUAUAAUCGCAAAUGGAAAAACCAUGCCAUGGUGAGAAAAUAACAUUUUCUAUUACAUAAAUGAGCUAGGUAGUCAAUAACAAAAUAGGGUCGAAGUUAGAAAUUUUUAAUCGAUCGGGCACGCUAAUAAAAAUAUGAUCAUUAUAUCACUACACAAUUAUUUAAAAAUAUGGUUAUACAUCUGACAACUUAACUAUAAGAACAUUCAAACGUAAAGCUAAUUCACAAGAUAUUUUAAGUUUUAUAAGAUAUUAUCUUUAAUUAAUUACAAUUACAUAUGAUUGAAGGCCAAUAAAUAAGUUAUUAAUAUGCACAUAUGAAGUAGCUAGCAUAGAGUGAAUUGCUGCAAUUUCUGGCUUCAGUAUCAUGGCUUUCUAUAAUAAGAUAAUAUUAGCAUAGUAGGUGAGUCCUGGUGGUAGUGGGAUCACUUGAGCGGUAGUACAUCAUGAAUAAUGUUACUGUAAGUUGGCACCAGAAACAAGCAGCUCAUUACACUGGGGAAAACAGUGCAGGGUUUUAUGGCAAAUGAAAGAACAAACAAGCAGGCUCCUUCAUGUUGUAUUCGGUGGAUAUGGGAAAAGAUGAAGUGGUGCGGGGCACGUCAGAUUGCACCCCGCAGACUGCAGUUACCACCGGAAAGUGGGAUCCACGCCAUCAAGAGAGUGACGGAGAGAUUAACAAAACGAGGGAAUUUAGACUUUACAGAGUACCGAUUAUGAAGGAAUAAUUGGAAUGGAAUAAUCAUCCUUUCUUUCAUCUUCUUUUUCCAAUCCAUUGGAGAAACUAGAAACUGUGCAGUGCAGUGGUAAACUAAUAGUGUAAUGAAAAGUAAUGCGGGUGAUAAGGAAGAAGACGACGCCUCCUCGCCGCGUCUCAUAGCAUUGAAUUACAAAUUCCUAACAAUAUAUUCCGACUCUUACUUUUAAGUCCAAAAUAUGUCAACAAUGUAAUAGAGGGUAAUGUUAUACUCACAUAUACCAGAGCGCUAAUCCCGGUAGUCACCGCUUUCUAUCGCUGGUCAUUGGUUGCUGCGGUCGCCGUUGAUUUCCAGCUGCCAGUCGACACUGCCAUCAUCCGUCACCGGUCUAUGUCACCGUCGGUCCACAAUAUCUGCAACUACUGACCAUGCUUGUACUCGCUUGCAAAACAUGUACCGUUAUCAGAAAACAGUCGCAUGUCAAAAAAAGUGUACGAAACAUCGCCAGGAAUUAAAAAAAUAGCUCCGACAAAGGUGGACUUGUGGGCAAAUUGUUUCCAACUCUAGAGCCUUCGAGUUUAGACCGAAGUGAAUGCUCGUCUAAAGGGAGUAAUAGGCAUGAGUUUUACGGAGCAUCCAUUGAUCGAAACUGAAGCGAAACCAUAAGUGCACACCAUUAUUUACAAUACAUACAUCUGUUUGCUCCUGUCUUCUCCUUUUUCUCAAUCUUCUUCUUCUACGCACUAUUAUAUAUGAAUUUCAACUUCAAGGAGACGAUCAACUCACUAUAAAAGGCCUAAACUGAUCUACAUCUCACUCUUCUUCUGACUAAUACUCGGCCAUAGCAACAAUAUAAUACUCUCUACUUCAAUCUGUGGUAAAAUGAUGGUCUGUGUUUCGAUGUUAGCUUUCCUUGGGAGGCAGUUAAUUUGGGGGGGCGGCGAGGGCUUUAAACGUCGGCUGCCGGAUUGCCAAGUACUGGUUUUUGCUGUGCAAUGUGAGUUCGCAGACUGCAUUCUUUCACCUGGAAACGUAAUGUAGAAGUUCCUUUAACCCCUCUUCAUGGCGCAAGUGUUCGAUAGGUGUGCUAGUUAUUCACCUGAUAACGUAAAAAGCAAAGCACAGAACUCACCUGGAUUGCUGUAAGGUUUGACAACAAGCCUCUGCAUUCAUCAAGUAGCAGAAGCUCUGUUGCAGACAUGCUACCAAGUUCAGCGACAAGAGACUUCAUUUCUCCAACCUGCCAAUCAAAUUCCUUCUUAGGGUCAACAAUAUAAUAUCCAUAUCCAUAUCUCAGUAGGCAAUCCAUCCUUUUUCCAAACUAGGUCGACGAUUGCACUUUGGGAAAUAAUCUCUUCCAUAAACGAAUUUGAUAUGGACAAAAAAAAAAAGCACAAGACGGAGCUAGAGUUACGGACCCUUGAUAGCGAUAAUCGUAUUGAAGAUCCCAUAGCUUGCAUCACAUCAACUGCUGAACAGAUGGCGUCCCUCACAUUUAACGCAUCUGCCUGCACUAAUUUCAAGAAUGGCUUUUAGAAAAAUGGUUUUAUUUUAGGAGGGUUGGAUGUUUCCAGCUCCUGAAUUGUACAAGAAACUAGAACCGUAAGAAAGUCAGACAGAAAGAUGGUACAGUACCCGUGCUCCACCGACAACAGGCAGGCGAAGUGUGCUCGAUUGCAGAGCUUCAAUGGCCCCUGAUAAAGAACAGGAGUAAUUUUGGUCCAGAACUGCAAAAUCCUCCAGAUAUUUCAUCUGCAGUCAUCAAUCACAAUGGAGAUGUAAAUACUUGGCUACAGAAGAGGGGCGACUAUUUGGGGUGGCGAAAGAAGAGGGGCGACUUUGAGGGAUCGCAAUUCAGAAACCAGUAGUGACCCUUAAGUUAUAGGCGGAUAAAAUUAAGCUCCAGGAUGCUUAGAUGAUCAUCAUUAUCGUAUGUUGCCAAAGUCUAAUUCAGCUUUAAUAUACCUCAUCCAGCAAGAAUAAUGCAUUAUAUUGCAACAUCCCAUUAAAUGUUGAAAGAAGAUUAAAAACUAUUUACCUGCCCCCUAAGGAUGGAAUCCAGCUUCAAAUUCUGCCUAAGCAAUUGCAAUUCUGCUCUCUUUGCUCUAACAGAUUCCCGCAAUCUUGUUGUUGUUAGAUGUGCACUGUACAGACUUUUCUGAUACAGAGAAAUAUUUUAGAAUGAAAUGCAUGUCUUAUGAAAUACAAACUAAAAGUAUCAAAGAAAAGAGAAUACAAUAUUUAUGCAAACGAGGAAGAAAAAGUGUAGAAGCGCUCUAGCAUAGUAUCCACUUUCUAUCAUCCUUAUAUCCCCAACUAUACAACGAGAGUUCCUUCAGGUCUGGAAAAAAAAUCAUAUAUAGAUUUACAAUUAACUUUGUACUUCAGUCCAUAACUCUAUUAUCUAUUUAUCUUAGUCCAACGCUAAGAUAGUACCCGUAUCUUAAGACAUGGUUCAUGAAAUUUCUGCCUACACUGCUAUCAUAGCAUUCUCCAAAAGUAUUCAAAUCAUAACCACCACCAUACACAUGAACGUUACAGCAUCUUCUCCUUUCAGAUAGUACACUAGUCAGGUAGCAUAUCUGUUUUAAAAGUGCAAGAUUCAUUCUGUUCUUAUAUAAAGUUUAGUCAUUUCGUGCUACUAAAUCUACAGUUCAAACCCCCAGAAAGCCAAAGAGAUCAAGCAUUGACCAAUACUCUUACUCCUAACCCCCAUUCAGGAAAUUACUCUUACAGUCAACCUGAAGUUAAUGAUGUUCGUUUUAACAGCUCCAAAAUCUCGAAAAAGAACUGUUGCUACAUUCCAUUCCAUACAAAAAAAUAAUAAUGAUACCUUCUAAUACUAGUGAUAAAAGCUCUACAAAAUGAGUUUACUUUGCUAAGAAAAAAACCAAAAAAUUAAAGGCUAUAGACCGACUUACCACACAACUACAACACAUAUAUGAACGUAUAAUGACAAUUCAGGAAACUGUCCCAUUGGUGAUUCUUACAGAACAGAGAGUUCAUAUGAGCCUCUAAACGAGACAGUAUCAUACAUGACUAAGUAGAUGAUCUCCAACUACAGAACUUGGUGUAUAAACUGGCCAAAAAUAUUUCAAAACAUAUAUUACAGAUCUGCUAAAGGUUAGAGACCUUCGAAGAGAAUAAACUAAGACCUUUGUUAGUAACAGAGCACUUGAAUAGCAGAAAGAGAGGGCAAUUCAUCAGAAGCCUUUGCACUUAAAUUUCACACAAGAAAGAAGGAUCGAAAUAUGGGAGACUGUAUCAAAGGCAAAGACACUAAUCUAACCCUCAUGUAAACCGCAGAAAUAGUUGCCUACACAAUGCUUUCACCAGUCAUCACCGGAGAACCACCAACUAUUGUAACCAGUACGAGGAAUACUUGAUCCAACAGUAGCUAGGGCACAGAUGAAGCACAGAGCAGUACUUAAACACUUCGACUUUAAUACCUCAUAGCGACUCUCACAACAUGACUGCUGAAGUCACUACUUGAUAAUUAUAGCAGUAUAUAUGGCAGAAGGUCAGAAAACUGUUGAAUGCUAAAAAGUACCACCUUUGGAUUUCCUCAAAAUGAAAACCAAAUUUCCAUAUUGGUAAUAAUUACCAAAUACUGUCGCAGAGUCCAGAUACUCUUUUGAGUUUCCUCAUCUAAGUAUCUGCCAUAUUUAAUGGCUUCCUUAUUAUGUUCCUAGUUACCAAUUUUCCUAAACGGACGUCCAGUAAUAACUUCUCACUAGCAACUGAAGACAAACAGAAGCAAGCUCAAGAAAAAUGUCCAAGAAGAAGAAACAGUGAUCAUACCUCGGCAUUCAAUCUCUGAGUGGAAAGGGCAGCAUCAGCUCUGGCGUUUACAAACCGCCAUUGCAACAGACGAUUAUAAAAAAAUCUAACAAAGUGUCACCGUAGCAGACAUUGUCCCAAGCUUUCUCGGCGAUGCAGGCCUUUGUCCUCCGGCACGCAUGGGAGACUGCCCCCUUGUAUUGGUAACACCUUUGGGUGAAGACACUGGACUGUCAACUCCAAGCUUCUUGGGCGCCAUAAUUUUAGGCUGGAAAGGUCCUAUAGAGAGUGCAAACUUGGAAGCAGGUGAAAGAGGCUCCUGUUUCGGACGGACUCCGUUAUUAGUCUCUUGCCGAAACCUCGCUGGCACCACUAUGACACGUCCAGACCUUUGUGAUUGCCUUCCAGCAUUAAAACUCCCCUCAGAAGCGGUACCGGAGGAUACACUUUCAGUAUCAGAAGGCAACGGAGGAUCAGAGUGCACUUCAGAUCCGCUUAUUUCGAUAGGCUUUUCUGGUUCGAUGACAUCGCUAGAGUCCGAGCUCAAUUUGCUCUCAAUUGAAGACCUACUAUCCAACCUGGAGCUCUGGAGGGCUCUAACUACGCCGACACUGACUCCAGAUCCGAUAGUUCUCUUCCUGUCAUCAGUACAAUCCAUGCUUUUAGUCAUUGAUAUUGGCUGCUCUCUUAAUCUACCCGGCCACCGUCGCUGCUGUUCAGCUGACCUGGAAUUGUUCUCCGCCUGAUCCGUCCUCGUAGUCGUCGCUUUCCGUCUCUCUGGAGUUCCUUUCCUCGCGCUAAUCGGGGACGGAGCCGGCUUGGCUUUACUCACCCGGAGCGCGAACGAAUCUCCCUGAAACGACACGGACAUGCUUCUCGUUGAAGUAAUCAACAGCUUCUGCGCAUUCGACAUUUCUCCCGCUGUACCGGCAUGGCCUCCGUAACCAUUUGCGAUCCUCAAAUCGAUAGAAUUAGGCCGCCCAGUAGGCGUACGGGACCUCAUCCUCUCGACAGAUUGAGACCGUUUAAUCGUGGAAGGAACAGACGGCGUGGCCGGAGUCAUCAAAGGCUUCGGCGGCGAAAUCAACGGCGAGGGACAACGUUUGGAGGCUGACGGCAUAGUCGAUGAAGAUGAAGAAGAAGACAUGUAGCGAGAAGUAACUUCUCGAGGUCUGGAACGGCGAGGAGCGAGAGCAUUGUCCGAUUCAGAAGGCAACAGAGGGGACCUAGCAGGGUUCUGAUUCUGUGCUAUCGGCCGAGGCUUGGGAGGGUUUUUCUUACCAGACACUUCAGCUACCAUUUUGGAGAAACAGUUUCCAGCUCCCAGCUCAUCCCUUCCCUCUCCUAAACCCUACAAUUUCCGCCUUCCGGUGAAAAUCAGCCGCAGCAGCUGGAGAACGAGAGCUCAAACGAAGAGAAAGAUAAAGGGAGAGUGGAGGAGGAUUACAGCGAGUGACACAGAAUUUCGGGCGAAGGUUUUAAUAUGGAGCGAAAUCCGCCACCGGGAAAGUUACAGUUACCGUUAUAGUUGGCCGGCGAGGGCGGAGGCGGAGGUGGGGCUACCUUACGGAGAAAGAGAGGAACGUUGUAGUUUUUUUUUUUGUUAAGUUAAGAACGUUGUAGUUGUUCUGGCGAGAUUUGGGAGCAUAACUGUCGUACUAGGCAUUUUUUUCGGGUUUCCUAUAUAUAUUUUUCUUUUGACAUACAAAAAAAUAAAAUAAAAUAAUAAAAUUUUUAAAGAAAAAGUCACGGAGCUGAUGGUUUCUCCUUUUCCCUUUUUCUCCAAAACCAGCCUCGGAGAUACGUGCGUGAGAAACGAGCGCGAUUAGUUAAGGCAUCAAAGAGGUGGCUGCGCGUUGGGGGCGAGUACGAGGGCAAUACGCGAGUGAGAAUGUAUUUCUCAUUUAUUUUAUUUCUCCAAAGGAAAAGGAUAGUAAACGGAUUAAUUGGGGAACUGGACUCGGAUGCUGGAGUCGCGUGUGUAUCUUCGGAGAGACGUUACGGAAACGACACUCUAAACUUUUUAAAGCAUAAUUAUUAAUAGGUAAUAUAAUUACUUAUGACGUAAUAAUAUAAUUUUUCCCUUUAUCCAAGAGUUGAAAUUCAGUAAUUUUUCUUUAAUGUAGCUUUGCAAGUCGAGCCCGAGAUUUAGAUACCCGCCCAAUACCUGUCCGAUAUUGGCUUAAAUUAUCUGGUCAAAGAGAGUUAUUUAUUUUAAGGAUCUGAUAUUUAGGAGAGUCAUUUUAUUUCACGGGAGCCAUUUACUUCAAAGUGCGACCGACAUAACCAAUCGAGUAAUUAUUAAUUAAUCGUAAUUAAGAAGAUUGUUAGAGGGUAUUCACCAAGCAAAAUGCAUCAAUUCAAACCCCAUAACUAAGCAACGCAAAGCAAGCUCAUAACUUAUUAAAAUUGCUAGCAAACGCGCCCGCACGCCCACCUAACUUUUCCCCUUUCCCUCAACAUAAUUUUCCAAAUUGAUUACUAAUUAUUAAUACCACACAAACUAGAUUCAGAUCCACGUUAGAUCAUCAAUUUAUCAAAUAUAACUCUUUCGAGAUCAACUGUUUAGAAAUGAACCCUUUUUUUUUCUUCUGUUCAAGGCAUCUGUUUAGAUACAUGUAAGGUAGAAAACAUUACGGAAUACAUAGCGUAGAUUGAGAAGACGCUCAUGUGAAUCAAGAUAAGUAAGAGUCCCGCGUGUCACAGUAUGGGCGGCGUUGUUAUUCUGACGUCGAACGUGCUUGAUGUAUACAAGAGGUGAGCGAGGCAGCUAACAGCCGUUGGCAAUCCUGAAGUAAGAGUCCCUCUGCCGAAUCAGUAUGAACGAUGGUAGAGACCUAGGGUGACAUGGAGGCUUCAAGCAGGACUUGUCUGUUCACGAGCACUUCCAAAGUGAGCGAUCGAGUAUGUGUGAUGGGGUUGUACCUAUCCCCACAAGGUCACGACUUCGCCAAACCGGCUCAUGUGAACUAUGCCAAUGACACCAUUUCCCUACCUAAACCCUUUCCAAUUAUGAUUGAGUUGCAAAGAGAUAAUAAAACUUGAAUUAAGUAAGUUUGGUAUGAGUAUUUCUUAAAAAUACAAUUUCACAUCCAUCAACACUAAUUUUGUGUUUGUUUCAAGUAAAUCCUAAGCUAUUUGCAUUGGUCAUCAAGAUGAGUUGCCAAAAAUCCAUUGGCUAACACCAAACAAAAGCUAUCUUCAACCACUAUAUAUGUACUUAUGUCUAUGUCUACUCAAAUGAUCCUCACGCUUUGUUUCGAUUAGCAUUUCCUUCACUUCUCCUUUUGCUUGAUUACAUCUUACUAAAGGCUACCUUCUUUUCUUUUCGUCAAGUUACAUCUUCUUUUCAAUCUAAACACAUUUUACACAAACGGUCCCUUUUCUUCACUUGAUUUAUACACACAGUAGUUUAUGUACCUACCUCCUAGCACGGUUCGUUGAAAUGGUAAACAAUAACGUUAUUUGAUGCGAUUCUCGCCUUAUGAAGGUCAAAGUCGAUAAUAUUCAUGAGUUAGUAUAACAGACAGAUCGCUAAGGUUCAGCCAGAUGGGUAGGAUCCUCAUGCACGCCAACCCAUGAAGGUCCGAGCAUAAAGAGCAUGUAUCCUCCCAGAAUUCUCUUUAUAUUAAGGGUUGUUACGGUGCAAUACCUUUGACAGAUUUUUCUUAUGAUUUUCGAAAUUUUUAAUAUGCCAGAUCAACGUGUUAUGUCAAUUGAAAAAAAUAUCAUGUUAUUAAAAAUUGAUCAUCAUAUUUUAAUUUCAACUCAAACGUGUCGUAUCAUAUCAUAAAAAUAUAGAAGAUUACAAUGUGUGAUGUUAAACAUAUAUAAAGUGACCAGUUUGUGACAUCAAACUUAUACAAAGUUUGUUACCGUAUUUGACAUAUAUAGGUUCGAUGUGACAAAUCAAUCACUUCGAUAAUAUACAUGACAAGUUGAUGCACGUAUUUGACAGUUGCGGUAAAUGAAUGAGUUGUAAGUACCACAAUGGGCGAUAUGAUGUCGACCAUGCAUUAAACAUAAGUUAUUGUAAUUUUAAUUUUGGAUAAUGACGAAUUAUAUAAUUUUGUUUGGAUGAUGACAUUGACAACUCGAUGAAAAUUAAAAAUUAACGUGACCACUAAAGCAUAUUUGACACAUUGAUAGAAUUUACAUGCAAACAGAUGGAAAUCCUUAAUUGUGGUACCUUACCUAGCUGGUUCGUUGGUCGGCAAACAAAUUGACCGUUGUAUAUCUUGAGCAACACACAAAACCAGCCAACUCCGAAAGGAAAAUAACAAGUCAUGAACAUCCCAAUCUCAAUGCCAACACACUGCUCUAUAAAAAGGAAUGGAUACAACUGUAUAAUUCAGGAACAUGUAGUGGUGACAAAUUUGACAUGACUAGUAUUGACAGUGCCGUUUGCCCAUGAUGAUCAUCGUAGGAUUGGUCCAUUAAGACAGCAAUAACAACCAGAAGACAUCAUGCAAUGAAAUGGGAACAAUCACACAUGAAUGCGCUUUACUUUGCUUUAUGAUCGAUAAAAACAGUUACCCAGGACCACCACCCUUUCUUCACUUCUUCUUCUUCUUCUUCCUUUUGGCAAACUAGCUACCGAAGUUGACAUCCUUCUUCAAAACUUCAUAACAUGUUUUCUGUUUAUUUACUUCAGGGAGGUUACUACGUUCAUCCUCAACCGUUUUUUAUUACGUCUAAUCUUUCAAUCUCGUCAAAAACUGUUGCAUCCCAAUAAUUUGAGCUGUUGAGAGAGGAUUCUGAUAUGUUUUAUAGUAUUCAUUAACACGCCCCCUCAAACAGAAGUUUUCAGAAGAGCUGAGGUUUGCAUGGAAUGUGGGCGACCGGGAUUCAAAACGGAGACCUUUCAGUCUUUUAGGCUCUAAUACCAUGUCAAGAACCGUUGCAUCCCACUAACUCGAGUUGUUGGGAGAGGGUUCUGAUAGAUUUUAAAGUAUUCAUUAACAAUCACAAGUACAAAAAAUGCAGUUCUAGUGACAAUCAGGUUAGUGACCAUUUUUCAGUAAAACAAUUACUUUUAGCUCAAAACGGUCGCCAAACAUGUUAAUUGUAGUUGAGUGGUUGUAACACCUGACUUUGUUCCUCGAGAUCCUGGGUUCGAAGUCUGAAAUGCACAAUCAUUUCGGCGCCCCUGUAAUGACAUCACCAUUCUAACAUGGCCCGAAGGCUGCCAGCCCCAAAAUUUACCUAACGGCGACAUUACUAAUUGUGAUGCCCGCUGAAAAAAUUUGUCGUAUAUAAAAGAUAGGUCAAAACAGUCGCUAAUAACUCUUAGUGACGAGCAAAAUAGUUCGCACAAUUAAGGUCUUCAAAGUUAUAUUUUCUUAACUGAAUAAUUAAAAUAAGCAAAUAAAUUUAGAAAGAAAUAAAAAUAUCAUAUAUAUGAUGUCAUUAUCCAUUGGGCGUCGUGGGCAAGGAGUUACGGAGUUUGUUAUGUCAAUCUCAAUUCCAGACAUGUAAAUAAUAAUAAUUGAAUUAUGGAAAAUCAAUAAAUCGAUGUUUUCAAUGAUUAAAAGUAAAAAAGAAAUUACGCUUUAAAGUAACUUGGUAUACAAGGUAACUGUUGCAUUGCCCUAGAAGGUGGAUGAAAUGGAAUACGACAAAAACAACGACAACGACAACGACGACUCCUCGGCCCUUUAAUUCAUUCCCACGUCUUAAGGUUCCCAGUAAGUGAGCAAGUUAGAAGUAUUGUCUCGGUGGAAAAUGAGAGAGAAUUUGGGAUAGGGUUGAAGAUUGCUUGGGAGAAAAGAUGCGGGAGGGUGUGGGGCGUAUAGUUUGGAUUCGUAAAUUGCGAUUUAGUUUUUGUUAGGGAUGAUGAUGAUACUAGCUUUUUUGUGAGGUUGUCAGUGUUGGCGAGAUGUUGGAUUAGAAUGGGAUGAUCAAAGUAGAGCAUAUUUAUGAGGAAGGCAACUAGACUACUGACUAUUUAAAUGGUGUUGGUCAUAAAUUUUUGUUUCGAAUUCGAAAAACCUGCCCGUGAAGCUCAACAAGUCUAAAACUGGAAAAGCACAACAAGGUAGACUAACUAUCUAAGAAAAAAAUCAAUGUCUUUAUAGCUACGAUCAUCAAUCUCUCUUUGGUGAAACGGCACCAGCUCGACGUCAACAUCUCUCAUACCAAAUCUCGCUUACAAUAGCCCUCCAGAAUAAGCACCAAGAUCGAGCAGAAUCACUUACAGCAAAGUAAAGGCGGCCAAAAUGUAUUACAUAAGUCCAGAGCACCGGACCCAUAGUAUGUCUUUUUCGUAGCACUCGUCGCCCACAAAAAUCUUGUACUUUUGCAUGUGCCCUCUAAACCUACUUACAUUUCCUUUCCUAUGGGGCCAGGAUAUGUUUCUUGACACUACACUACAUUCUUUGAUAUGUUACAUAAACUCAAAUAUCACUUCGAUAAGUCGGAAAAAAUAUUAUAUAGUUUGAAAAACGUUCACUAACUAUAUGAGUAUGAAGUCUUUUAGAAAAUGGAAUCCCAAAUAAUACAAAGUAUCACCGAAAAUAGACAAUAUCAUAUUAAUAUUACAAAAUUGGUGGCAACACACACGAUCCUACCUUACACUCUCCUGCUACGAUACUAUAUCGUAGCGUAAGGGUUUAAAUUUAAGAACGAGAAAAAAAGAUGAAUAGUAUGGAUCACUUGUAAGUGAAGCUAAUUUGAUGACACUAUAUAUCAUACUAGCUAGCUAGGGUUGCUUUUUUUAACUUUACUAUACAUAAGCUACCGGUUCUUAUUAGGCUACACCAUCAAUCAACAUCUCUACGGAAUAUUACUGGUUGCAGAAGGUGUUUUAAGGAUGGAUCUGAUUUUGAUAUGGGUAAACUGUCCAUGCUGUUGUGGUUCUUCUGAAAAUAACGGAAUAACUUUCUGUUUGAUAACAAAAUUAUGCAGGAAUGGGAAGUCUUUCCGAAAGCGGACAACUUCAUUCAUGGUUUUCUCGAUGUGCAAGGAAAGGAGAUGCAGCUUGCCAAGCAAGCUGCUCGUCGUGGCUGGGGGUGGGAGAAGCCAAUNNNNNNNNNNNNNNNNNNNNNNNNNNNNNNNNNNNNNNNNNNNNNNNNNNNNNNNNNNNNNNNNNNNNNNNNNNNNNNNNNNNUGCGCGCAUAAUCAAAGUCGCUCGUCGUGGCUGUAAAUGGAAGUAGCCAAUGAUUGGAACUGUGAAGCUUAAUGUUGACGCUGGUGUUAAUCGCAGAGGUGGGACUGGUGUUGGCUGCAUUUGUAGAGAUUGGAAUGGAAGUAUGGUUCUUGCUGCAACAAAACAUGAAGAGGAAUGCUGGAAUACAGAUGUUGCGAAAGCUAGAGGAGAUUGGGUCCUUUUGCUCAUUCACAAGCUCCCCUGCCGCACUAAACUACUGAUUAGGACAGUUAGGUUCGACACAUGAUUGUAUCACCCGACCCCUCCAACAUACCUCUCUUUUAAAAGGCUAGCUUUGAUUUGUGAAGAAAAGGGAAGAAGAAAGAAUGAGUAAACCUAGGAAGAAAGCCUAGGGACCCAACGCCAAGCAGCGCCAUCAAUUUCUUGGCCUGUAGGUAGGUUUCAGUGUUUGUGGGGUUGGAGAAAUUAGUGGACGACUUUCACUACUUCAAAAAAAAACAAUGAUUCAAAAGUGUUUGUUAAGUCAUAUAUUUAUGUGACCCUUUCUCAACUCGUAAUCAAAAGUGUUCACCAUAUACCAAUCCGAUCAAAUUAUAAACGACAAAGUGACAUGGACAUGUCGGAAAUUGCCUCGGUGGGGACCACAUGUGAUAUAAAAAGCCCAGUUUUAGGUCAACUUGGGCCUGCACUUAAUCAGGCUGGGCCUGUUGUGGGCUAAGUAAUGAAAACCCAAGUCAAAUCUAAGUUUAACGGAACUCAGAGUGGGCUGGGCUACUACGAUAAAGACAAAAUGGCACAAUGAGAAUACGUAGAAAGACAGAGGGAUACCAAAAGAAAAUAUUACAAACGGGAGGAUGCAUAUAUCUAUGCUAUGCUUGCUGAUGCCAAAAGAAAAUACAAAUAAUAACAGAGAAAGAGAACAAGCUAAGGUUGUGGCUGCAUCUGCAUGCAUGCAUGGUUAACAUAUAUAUAGAGAUAAUUGGGAUUGAGAUGCAAGCUAAUUAAGUUAGAAUAAGGGUGAAGGAGGAGGGGUGGUGGAUGGAGGUGGGGAUCUUGGGAUGAAAGGGUUGAGUGGAGUGCCAUGUUCAAUUGGGCCUGGUUUUACUGAUGCCUUUGAGCUUGGCACUGGAUCUAUUGGCCUGUAAUCUUCCACCACCUCUACUUCUCCGGCCUUUGCCUCCUCCUCCACCUCCCCCUGCGUAUGCAUUACAGUUCAGAGAAGCAAUAUUAGUUAACCAAAGCCGGAGGGAUGGAGGGAUGGAUGGAUGGAUGGAUGUCUCAAAUGCAUUUAUUAUGAUAAUUAAUAUACCUGAAGAAGAAGAAGCUUUCUGCUGCUCCUUGCUUCUGCUACCGCCAUCAUUUUCAUGUCAGUAUCCCCUGUACCUGUCAGUGUGUUUGGUUCAUCUCAUUAAUUUCACCCAUUCUUUCUUUCUCUUUAACCCAUUUUUAAUUGUUUCUUUUUGGUACUCGUGAUUUGUUCAAAUUCAAUAUGCCAGGCGUCCAAACCAAAUCAGUGACACCUAAAAGUACUUAUAACCAUACAAAUAUCUCUGUAAACUUCAUUGAUGAUGCCCACUUCAGAAAUUAUACUUCUAUGCAGUUCAAAGGGCUAAUUCCGAUUGACUUCCCAGAUCUAAACUUGAAAACUCGAUAUCACUCGUAUUCCAAACGCUUUUUUUCAACUAAUUUAUGAUAAAUAAUAAGUUGAGACUAGACUGGCUAUUGUAAGACUUCCUUGAGUCUUCAAAGUAAGCUUUUUUUCUGGGGAAUAUUCAACUGCAACUUCCCAGAAUGAUAAAUGAAGUUACAAAAUAUAAGCUGCCAGCAUCACAAAAAAGAUCUUCAUUUGGGUAUUAGCCCAAAAAACAAAAGAGACUAGACUGGUAAAACUUAUUGGAUACAAAGGUAUGUGGACUGAGAAAAGGCCAAACACCAACUUUAACCCAGAUCAAAACAGAAGAAGCAAAGAGACAAAAUCAUGCAACACUCUUGCUCUGUACAUAAAACAAAGCAAGAAACAGAACACCAAGCUAGGCAGGCAGAUGCGGUAAAUGAGGAGAAACAUAUAUACAUACCAGGAAUCAGUGGUAAGGCUGAGAUGGUGCGUGCAGAGUGAAGGAGCAUUACUAAUAUUAAAGCUGUCCCAACAACCAUCAUCGAGUACACAACCCAGAUCCCAGUACUUUUGCUCUUCUUCAUCACAAAAGGGGAAAGCUUAUAGCUUCUUCUGGUAGGUAUUUUUAACACAACAAAAUGGGAGAAUGAAUGAAGGCCAAAGUCCCACCACCGCAACGGAAAACCCUUGAAGAUAAGGUAAGUAGAAGAUAGAAAGAAUAUAAGACCAAGAAAGAGAUGGAGGGGGAAUUGUAUUGUGGAUGGACUUACUAAAGGCCCAUCCCCCCUUUUUCUGCAAAUGUUUGAUCAAAUGUUUUUGAAGAAAAUGGUUUUUCGGGAGGCUGAAAUUUUUAUUACAUAGAAACAAAUAAAGUUAAGCAUGCAUGUGACGUUAUUGCCCUAGCAAUCCGGUCGAAAUUGAUUUUGAUUUUAAUUUGGUUUGUCAAAUUCAAAAGCAAUCGAUCGAAUUGGGAUUUUGUUGAAAACCCAAAUUGGAAAAAAAUCUGAAAUUUAGAUUUUGUGUUCCUUUUUGUUUUUUGUUGGCUUCCGUUCGUUAGAUUUCAAUUGGACUAAGUCUUUACGUUACAUAUUAACAAAUAAAAUGAAUAACAACUUAUCACAAAUAGCCCGAAUGCCAAAUUUCAUCUCCAAAUUCGAUUUCGCUUUGAAUUCGGUUUUAACCGAAUCAAGCCGAAUUUACUAUAUUCAAAUUCGCAACAAAUUUGAUGAGUUCGGUUACGAAUUUGGUUAUACUGAAUAAUAGAAACCGAAUUAUAGCAGCAGACUAGUAGUAGUGUUCCCGAGUAGACUAGUGUUUUAAAUGCUGGUGAACAAGCGAACUGUGGAAAUUGGAAAAGCAAGAUUUAGAGCAUUGGCAGUGGGAAACCGGACUCCUUUCUUGGUUUGGGAGCGUUUGCCAACUGUAUAACAAGAGUAAAUGACUGUAUCAGAAGAAGGUGUGUGUUAUUGCGACACGAUCACCAUUAAUGGCUUCUCCCCAUGCCAUUGCCAUACCCGUGUUCUUUCUGACACCUCAAGAUGAGAAGCUCCAUUAAAUAGAUAGACUAACUCUACUAUACAAGUGUAACAAGGGCUACAAAGGAACCCAAAAGUUCGAACACCAUACCACCGCUCCAUAGUCAUCACUAGGGGCGUCGAUUAUCAAUCCGCCGGUCGAUCUCUCUCGCUUCCAGUAAUGCUCUGGCUUCGUGGCAAUAGCUGAUGCACAAAGCAACGUUCCGCCUUCUAAAUGAUUGUGUCCGCGGCGGAGUUCCUGAUGAGAACAUUGGAACCUGCCUUUCGGGAAAUCUUUGUGAAAAGAUCCAUCGCAGUGUACUAUCCGUCCGAUUGUACUUGUUAGUAGGGGUACUAUUGCUGGGUUGUGGUUUGGAGAGUGGCGCGUAGAACCAGGUUGGUGGUCCCAGUGAGUGAGAUCAUUGGUCCUCGUAGUUGGUUUGACCACUCGAGGUAGUCGCUGGCGAUAUGUUCCCCUACCACCUAGGCGCCAAGCUUUGUUCUCCUGGAAGACGAAUUCAUUUUGGCUUUUCCAUAUGUUCCAGUUUUAAUAUAGGCAUGUGUAUGGGGACAUGCACUGCGUGGCGCAGGGCCUCCUACAACAACUAGUUCGUAACAGCAUAGAUAUAUUUUUAAAUCGUCAAAAAAAGCUCUCAAUGAGAGUCGUCAAACCCUAACCGCCAUAGCCGAUUUCGCUUCUUCGAACUUCUUCGUUUUUCAAUUUCAAAUUGAAUCCUUGUUGCUUAGAUGCCUAAAUUGCCUCAAAUGAGAGUUUCUCUAACCCUAAUUCCCAAACCGCCGCACCAUGCUCCCGCUGUCGCCUCCUUCUUCCGUUGCUCCCAAGCAACUCCCAACCACGACCAGCGAUCGCAACCACACAACCGCAGCCUCGUGAGCCACAUCCUCCGGCAACACCACCUCCUCAUCCAAUUUCGCAUCCGACGCCAUCAUCCAACUUUCCACUGCACUUCGAACAACGUUCUAAGCCGAAGCUACCAUGAUGACCAACACAACACCCAAUGGGUCCAACGGCUAACCACAGGCAAUGGAAUCCGAGAAUGUGGCCAUACAAAUUCCAACACAUUCAAUCGCCGACAACCAGAGUCAAGGUCCGGCCCGGAAAGAGGACCAGAUUUUACCCUCAACAUAAACAGUCAAUCAGCCUCGAGCGACUGAUCUGCCACACUGAAAUCCGAGGCCCGGCCAGCUGAGGUCCUAGCCUCCCUCGGUGGUAGCCUAAUAAGAAUGGUUUUCAUUCAUGUUCGCUAGGUCUAGUUUAAAGUUUCAGAUUGUUUUCUUCAAUUUUUUCGGUUAAUUAGUUCCUUAAUUUUGAUUUCACCAGUAAAUUUGAUUGCCCGCUAGGUUGGAAAGAAAGGGUUGAUGUCACUUACUCGUAAGGGCCUGCGAUUCAUGUAGCCUUGUUCGCAAGGACUGCAAUGGGUAUCUUGUAUGCUUCUACAUUACUAUCUUUCGGAAAUACAAAAGUCGAUGAUUGCUUGUAAAAAAAACAGUCAAACCCUACACUGCGUCGCGCAAUGCAUGUCCAUUAAGCCUACUUUUGUUAUUUGAGUUGUAAGGUGUCUAAAUCCACUACUUUGUAUUAAAAUCUGGCUUAAAACCCCAUAGGUUUUUAAUAGUUGAAUCAUAUAUCAGUACAUGGUGUAAUUAAGUCGCGGAAUUGGAUAGAAACACCAAAUUGUUACCGAUUCAAAAAUCAAAUUAGAUAUAUUAAAAUAAAUCAAGUGACCAAAAUAUUACUCACCCGAAACUUGAGUGGCGAAAAAUGUCAUUAACCCAAUAUGGAAGCCAAAAAACAUAUAACCCUUGAAUAGUAGUCCUAUAAGUCGACACAUCUUUUUUAUCUUGAACAGAAUCUAGUCGCUUGCUUUUUCCAAGCUUGCCAUAUAUGUCAAAUAGAUUGUCCAAACGUAAGCAAACGAGCUGUUCACCAAUGGCUGCCAACAACAUAUUCACACACACACAAAAACAGUUGCAUCAUUAGCUUUUACAAAACCGGAGGAGAUGAAGAGUCAGGUAAAGGGGAGGGAAAAUGCACCUGCAAAUGCACGGGGACAGCUUUGAACGUCAAGAAAUCACACAUAGGCCAGAAUAUUAGACCCCCCAACAAGGUUGGUAGGAGGUCACGCUUCAAUCUAGCAAUGAUCUCUUCACCACUUUCCCCUGCAAUUUUUGUUCCGUCAGAAGCAAGCAUUCCCUAUCUGAUCUCAAAGCACGGUUACCUUGUAAAGCAGCAUUAUACGAAAAGAAGAGAGCAGCAUUGGCCGGUCCAAGAACUGUCUGUCCCAGGAAUAUUUUCUUCAUGGUAGAAAGCACAUCACGCUGUGGUAGAAUCUUGGACAUGUGAUUGAACCACAAAUGCUGUGCCGGUCCCAAGAACAUCAACCCAUAUCCAGCCAUGCGUAAAGUCCUUACAGUAUCUAAUGUUGAUCCUGCAAUCAUCUAUGCCGAAGGGUUCCAAAAUUUUCAGUCACAAUCAAACAGUCUAGUAAUCCAUGGAUAGCUUCUCUCUUUGGACAGAGACCGCUACUACGGUAGGUGCUCAAGCUCAAAUCUUUAAAAUUAAGUAGGGAGUUACGCUUAAGCCAAAAUUAAACCAGAAUAGUUUGGAUCAUAUGAGGAAAACUGGUGCGAUUGGUUUUCAAGGAACAUUAGUGAUAAAUAAAGUUCGAACAGAGCAACAUUAUAGACGGUAAUUGGCGAAGGACAAUUCACGAGUAGAGAUUGAAUUUACCUGAGCAGUGAGAUCGGCCGCGGCGUAAAUCAGCGACGUGGUAAUGGCUUUCGUGAGCAUGGGUUGUGAUUCGAGCCUGUCCAGGUACCACCGGAUGAAACCGAACCUCGAGUUUGAACGAGGCGAUGUCGAGAGCCACCGGGAAGAGGAGUUUGGCGGCACAGCAUUCGUCGUCGACGGAGGAACAUGAAGGAUCCUGGAACUACUACUCCCUUUGGUUCUGUACGCCUGCGUAGCGCCACCGCUGAAAUUGGAGAACGCCGAUGAUUGAUUCCCGAAGCAAGCUUCUUUCAUCCAGAAACCUCCGUGGAGGAGGCGUUUCCGAAGUGCCCUGACGGUGACGGCGGCCAUCUUCACGAUUACCCAAUCUACGAGUAAACUUCUGGAAAUCGCUAUGUUCCUCUUUUUUCUGUAGUCUCACGAAAGGAAAGAAUUUUUUUUCUUUUUUAGUAUUGUUUCAACGGGACUAUCGGUUUUAAUGGUUGUCUAAGUUUAAUGUUUUUUAAUUAUUAUUUUAAGAUUUUAUUUUUGGUCAUUUUAAUUUGAGUUAAAAUUUUCUUAAUUUGUAGUUAGCGUUUUUCGUCUUAUUCCAUCCGAUUUGGCCACAUGACACAGGCACACAUGUAAGCCACGUAGGUUUGAUAUCCAGUCAUAACUUAGAGCAACUCGGAUUGUCCUUCUUCCCCUUCUACCUCCUCGUCGUCGUCAUUCAGAAGCUGCUUCUCCAGCUUACAAAGCUGGUAUCAUUUUCUUCUCCGGUUCCUGACCGGAUCCACCCGACCCGAAGGACCCGACGGCAACUCCCUCGUUGUUCCGAGUCCGGGUUUGCGCAAACGGAACUCCCUGCAGCAUUUGUUGAGGAAGAACAUUGAUAGGCUGAGUCCUGAGCUGCUGAAGGAGCGGCAAUCAGAGAUGGCUCUUUUCUCCAUGCAGCUGCUCGCCGGAGACGCUGAGAAGAAAGAGCGGAAAACGAAUUCUCCGCUGAGAAAUUAUUAUUAUUAUUAUUAACGAAAUUACCGGAGAAAUCACUGCAGUUAUUCUGGUAAAUCCUCGGCUUCACUGAUCGGAGGAGUAAAGAAUUCAAGGCUGGAUUUAUCCCCUGGAACCGGAGAGGGCUCUUUUCCCCAUGUAGCUGCUCGCCAGAGACUGUUGCUGCUGCUGCUUUUGUUGUUGUUGGAGGAGGUGGUGGUGGUGGUGGUUCCGAUGGUGGCCGAUCUGAGACGAUUGGUCGAGGAAGAUUUGCGGGAGCUGUUGCUGAGCUCUGUAAGGAAGCUGUGUGGUGUUGUUGUUAGGGUAGAAUGAGGAGGAGUUCAUCGAUCUGCCGGCGAAGUAGGAGUCUGAACCACCACCGCCGCCGCUGAAUCCUCCUCCUCCGUCGGGGAAUCCAGGUGGCAUCUUUAUUUGUUUUUUGGUAACUUCCACGGAGGAUUUAUUGGUUCUCAUGAUCAGUUCGGUUGGUUUUCAAAUAAAAUAUUCCGCCUACGUGGCUUGGUCAUGUUCCACGGCAAAGUAAAUAAAACGGGACGAAAAACGCUGAUGGCGAGUUGGGAAAAUUUCGAAUCAGAUGAAAAUAAAACAUGAUUUUAAAUUAAUUAUUAUAAAAAACGUUAAAUUUAAAGGAUUAUUAAAGUUAUUUUAAUGAAUAUGUCUCUAUUUUCUGUUUGGUGGCCGGAUUUUCGGAGCUUAAGGCGCGCGGCAGAGAGGCGGAGUCCCAGUGGAAGAAUGCUACGUGUAAAUUUCACCGGAAUUGUUUCAAAAAUAAUUUGAAGUUUCGUUGAUUUGAAAUCUGGGCUUCGACUAUCUAUGGCCUUUAAAAUAUAAAAAUGAAAGGGGCCAUUAAUUGUCUGUGAUGUUUGUUCCUCAUAAAACUCUAAUACAGCGAUUCUCCAACUCGAAGACCACUCUCUGUCCCCUGCGUCCAUUCGUCGAUCCCAUCCUACGGAUCCACCAGCUUCUCUUAAGAGUUCUUGCAGCAACAGCAGCUCCGCCAAUUUCCUCCGACGACUCAGCUAGCUUAUCCUAAUGAUCCGCCAGCUUUUCUCACAUCGUAAUUGGGUUCUGUAACGAAUCCGGCAAGGAGUCCCCGAAGAGUGGCAGCAGCAGCAGCAGCAGCUCCACCGACGAGGUAGAAGAAGAGGAGAAAUUUGGCGAUCAGGAAGAGAAGAAGAAAUCCCAGAACGAGCUCCUUUUGGUGAAGUACGGUCCUGUUCUUAUUAUCUAAUUUUCAUAGCUAAAUUGAAUUCAAGUUCAAAUCUUUCCAGGCGAAAUUAUACAGAAAGGAACCCAAGAUUCGGCAGGCUACUCAGGAGGUUCUGAGUAAACUGAGAAGAAGAUCGGAUUGACCUGUAUCGUCCGAGGUUUCAGUGGGCUUGGUAGGGUGAUCGUCCUGACUUGAACAUCUCAUUUCAUCUACUUGAUCUCUUCGUCAUGUAAAUCAAAGAUAACUGAAGAGGCUCUAUGGGUUUUGGCAGCACUGUGUUCUAGUUGCUAUGUCUAUUGGGGCUGCAUGUAUUGGACGGUAAUUGAUCGGUGUGGUGGUGGGAUGGUCAUGGAGGACGUCAUUCAUCAUAUUUGUACUCUCAUUCACAAUUUUUUAUUAGUGCAAUAUCGGGUAAGCCUCCUACUAUUUUUGAAACCACUUUUCCUGAAGUUUAUGCAUCAAUCUUAUCUGAAUGGCUGAUCGUCCUGAAACAAUGUGGUAUUUAAUGUGAAUAGCUGCUCGGAAUCUCUUGUUACUCUGCUUAUAUUUGACCUAGAACUAAAUUAUGUAUGAUUCUUAAAAAUGCUGUAGAUUGGGACUGUUGUAACAAGUUCCCCCAAUCAAUGAAAAGAAAGGUUGUGGACAAGUCUGGUGAUCUUGGAAAUUUGCUCAUCUUGUCAAUCUGUGCUGGCUUAGUGUCUAUUUCAUGCAACCUCAGGUUAUUUAUCAUUCUUCCUAGUGUUUGCUUAUCUUUCCCUUUGUUUUCCAUAUUGUCUUUUCCUUGCUUACCUGUGGAUAGGUUGUUCUCUUCACUUAGCUCUGCCAUGGGUUUAUCAUCAGCGAAUAUUUCACCUAAGUGAAUGUUUUCUGGGCUUACAUUUAUCAAAUAGGAUGAAAAUUCGUCGGUAGGGCAUGUAAUUUAUAUUGGUUUCAUUUGGCUGCUCCACAUAACCAUUCUCAUAUUGCAUCGAGUGUGUUCAUUUUAGACACUCUGAAUUGGUUAGUUUUAUCAUUAAUGGUUUAAAUAUAGUACAAUAAAUCAAGGUGGUUUCUGCUGUGUUACUUGUCUUUCUUCGAACCUUCUGCCAAUUUGUCAGAAUGCUGUAAUGACUGAAAAGCCUGGCUUUCUUAUUUAUAAAAUGUUGAAUACAUGUAAACGUCCAUUUGGACUUCACAAAUUUCGAUCAUUUAAGAAACUAAUGCUUCUUACAGACGUCUUUGGUAUGACUUCCCCUUACAAGUUCUUAUAUUGAUGUAUGUAACGUUUGUCUCAGCCUUGUAGGAUUUAAAUGAAUCGAUCCAAAUCCAAACCUAUUAAAUUCAUAAACCCAUAUCCUAUUCGAGAUCCGAUCCAUAUAGAAUUGGUUGAUUUCCUUUCCAUUUCGGGUGAAAUUGCUUUGCUUUGAAUUAGAUUAUUUUGUUUUUGCUGAUCUUAGUCACUGAAGGAGAACAUAUUAUCCUAGUCUGCGGCAGUCGAGGCCGACCGUGGUAUUGAGCUUAGAGCUUAAUAGGCAGGUGAAUAAUUAUAGCAGAGGCCUGCCAUGGACCCCUCAAUAAUGAAGCUCCUGGAGGAAGAUGAGGCAAGGGUUUUGGCUUCUAUUUUUGUCCCACUAGGGUUUUUCGGACUCUUGUUUUAGAAAUUUGAUUAAGAUGUUGUUUGGUACUUCGUUUUGCAGGAUGAAACGAUGCAUUCCGGUGCUGACGUUGAGGCCUUCCAGGCUGCACUCAAUCGGGAUAUCGAAGGGGACAAAAAUUCCAAUUCCCAGACACAUGAUUCGGGUAAUUCCUAGUUGAAUUUCAUGGUUUACCUUUUGCUCGCCAAUUUGGAUAUGUCAAUUAUAGGAAAGAGUUGAACUUACGUUGAGCGUUGCUCAUACUUCAUUGGCUGUCAAAUACCCUUUGCUCUAAUUCAGAGUUUUUGAAUUAUUGUCUGCAGUCGCUAGUGGAUCUUUUAUUAUCUCUGAUAGAUUACUGGAUACAUAGUUUAAUGACGUCAAGCUGAUGAUGGGUAAUUGGAUUAGAAUACCAGUAGUCUAGCUAUGGCCUUCUUUGUUUUUCAGUUUAGCUGGCUGCAACUUUGUUAUCUUUAUGAUGCAUAGCUGAAGAUGUAGUAGCUUUUCUGAAUGAAGGGAACCAAGGUUCCUCUCAGCCAUUUCAAAGCUGGCCAUCGAGAGAAGAUGGAAUUCCAGCUGGUUCAAGCAACCAGGGGCUACAUAAUUUAUCACAUGCACAACACUUAUCACACCAACACCAGCAAUCAUCUAUGGUGCUCGAUCAACACUCAUCUUUAGCUGAGAAACAUCAGCAACAUAAUGAUGUGUCACAGGGACAAAAUCACACUUCAACAAUGCAUCAGAACCAACCCCAAGAUGAUCAACAUGGGAAGGUGGAACAGCAGCCUACUCAAGCACACCGGACCACUGAGAUCCCAAUCUCAGAUAAAAGUUCAGCUCCAAUAUCUGAGCCUGGAAAAUCACAGAAUUCUGCUGCUGAAUCCCAUUACCUAAAGUAUUCUAAGAUGCCCCAACAGAUGACAGGCACAGAACAGGCCAUGAACUCGAAUAAUCAGGGAAAGCAAAUACCAUUUGUGUUGUUGCUCCCUGCCUUAAAACCCCAUCUUGAUAAAGACAGAGAGAUGCAGCUUCAGACCAUCUUCAAUAAACUAAAGGUGGGUAUCUGGCUUGAAUGCAUAUGUCAGUAGUUUGUUUACCCACGCACUGUAUAUUUUCUAAACUUUUCUGCGCCUUUUGUGUUAGAGAAAUGAAAUCCCAAAGGAUCAGUUUGUCAGACAUUUGAGGACCAUAGUAGGGGAUCAAGUGCUGAAGCUGGCAGUAGCUCAGUGGCAAUCACAGGUAUGACAUAUUGAAAGUCAGGAAUUUCUUGGUGGAUAAAUCAGUGUUAUGCAUAACAAAAGAUGUCUUGGUAGACAUAAUUUAAUUCUAUUUCCCCCUGGAAACGCAGCAUGGAGCAAACCAAUCCCAAUUGCAGUCUCAGGCUUUAGUCCGUCCACAAAAUACCAGGAUGCCCGUCAGUUCCAAUCCCUCUCAACUCCCUGAUGCCCAUCCAUUUGCACUUCCGACGGUAUCAAGUUCUUCUAAAGACACAGCUUACAAUGGUCAUCCAUCAGUAAAAUUGCAGGCUGAUAGUUCAAAUGAUACCCUUACUGGUACAAUUAAUCCCAAAACCCGACAGGUUGAUUCUCAUGCAGUCAACUUUAGCCAAAUGACUUCAGCCAGUGCAAACAUAGUCAACCAAGACAGAGAUUCCUCUUCAAUUUCAACACAAGGACACAACAAGCAAAACCAACAACAUUUACACUUUCCACAGACGUCCUUUCCCAUGUAUGGGGGUACUGGAAGUAAUUUCCCCCCAUACUCUGGUACUGGGAAAAUUGUUUCAGGCGCUUCUAUGAAGCCACAGCCUCCAGAGAUACAAAUGAGACAAAUUUCACAUCAUCAAAGUAUGGGUAUAAAUCAAGUAGGAACCCCCAGCCAGGCAAUGAGCACCCUGAAUGUGCCAAAAUUGGAGAGGCAAGGUUCUGUUACUGAUGCAAACAGACUGUAUAGUGGCCCAACGUCCACUUAUCCUAGCCGGCCAGCAAUGCAGCAAAAUCAAGUUCCUUGGCAAACAUCAGCAAACAAAGACCAAAGUCAAGUCUCAUUCUCUCCUAUGAAUUCUGUAAAACAGGAAGUAGUUGAACAGGCUGGUGAGCAGUCACAGAAAUCCCAGUUUGGGAACCAUCAUGAGUUAUCUGCGGGUACUGAGCAUGGAAACACAAUGUUGGGGAGCUUCAGGGACAGUUCAGAUAAGCAUCCUUCAAGUGUCGGUUUCUCAACAGCCUCUGAUACUGCGCCCUCAAGUUCAGUUGGUCCUUCCAAUACGACUCAGAUGGAUCAUAAUACACAGGUACUGCCAUCUUUUUCUUUGGUUAAGGUGUUACAUUGUUUCGUGGUAUUUACUUAGUUGCUCAAGGCUUUUGUUUUCUUUAUAUGGUGGAAGGUGUGAGUAAAUCUCUGAUAAGAUUUAUUUUAUCGAGUAAUUUCUGUUAAAAUUAAUUGCACCGGAUCAUUGAAGAAAUAUUGUUUUACAUUAUUUGAAAAAAUUUCGUUGUACUAUUUGAUUAAGAAGAAGUAUUUCUUCUUCGUUUAAUCAUUUCAUUUCCUAGUAGUAAAAGAAGUAAUUUUAAACUUUAGCUUUUCCAAACAGUAAAAGGAGUUAUUUUACAUUCACUUAGUAGCAGUAUGAGAUUUCUAUAAUAGAUAGAGAGUCUGUAGUUCAAUCUUAAGCAUAAGAAUUUCAAAGUUCUUGCGAGAGUUAUUGUUGUGCUUUUCCCUGAGUCACGGACGGGUACCGUGGUUCUUCUAUCAUCCUACCUAUGAAAAAACUUAAUGGACUUCCUUCUUUUAAAUAGUCUUACACUCUUACCCCACGCACAUGGAUUUCCCUGGCAAUGAACAAAUUGAUCGCUUACUUAAGAUGUUGAGGCCAGUACUGACCGGAUUAUACCUUAGCAAUUUCAUAAUGAUUAUCUGUCUUCCAAUCAUUAAUAGGUUGGCCCCAGGGUUCCUCCCUCUUCUGCUUCACUGAAUACAAGAACUCCCCCUAAAAAACCUUCCGUGGGGCAAAAAAAACCACCAGAAGCACUUGGAUCUUCACCGCCUGCAGCAAGGUGACAAUUCAAUAUUGUUGCCUCAUUGAUUAUCGUUCUAGUUUGUAUCUGAUUGAUACUUUAUUGUAUUCUCCAAUUAUUAAAAAUUUCCCUGGAUGAACGAACCCAAACGAGUGGUCUACUAAUCGUUGAGUCUCUGUAUAAUGGAGUCAAGGUUUCAAUCUGGAUAAACUCUUACACCCGGUUUCUGGGAUUGUGUACAGUAAGAAACAGAAAGUUUCUGGUGCCUUUCUGGAUCAAAGCAUUGAACAACUGAACGAUGUCACUGCUGUCAGUGGAGUUAAUAUUCGGGUAUGCUUAUUCUCCAGCUAUCAGCAGCUUGAGUGAUGAAUAUUAGCAACCAGUGGGAAGAACAAGAAGUGAGCUUUCAAUGUUCCUGGUUCGUGUUAUUGUAUUCUACAGGAAGAGGAAGAACAAUUAUUCUCUGCGACCAAGGAGGACAGUCGAGUCUCUGAAGCAUCUAGAAGAGUUGUACGAGAAGAAGAAGAGAGGCUGCUUUUGCAGAAAACUCCUCUUCAGAAAAAAGUGGCUGAGAUCAGUUAAUCUUCUUUCCAUCACUUUUCUUUUCUGAAGGAGGUCAUGUGCAUUAUGCAUGUUGAUUUACUUCCAGUUUUGCUUGUCCUUGCAGUGGCCAAGUGUGGUCUGAAGAAUGUCAGCAGUGAUGUUGAAAAAUGCUUGUCCUUGGUGAGAAGCUAAUUCUUUCGCCUUCUUUCUUGAAAAUAUUAGACAUUUUCUAACAAAAAGAUCUGUUUAGAGUGUGGAGGAAAGAAUGCGAAGUUUGAUGAGUAACAUGGUCAGAAUGUCAAAACAGGUCAGUUCGUGCAUUAUGUCUGCCAACUUGCGAAUUUGUUUGAUCUUUUUUUUCUGAUUCGGAGUGCAUCUCUACAGAGGAUUGACUCAGAGAAGUCCAGACACAGGACAGUAGUUACCUCUGAUGUCCGGCAACAACUCGUGACAAUGAACCAGGAAGCUAAGUCUGAAUGGGAGAAAAACCAGGCUGAAGCAGAAAAGCUCCGGAGAGUAAAUGAAGUAGGUCUUUAUCUGCAUUUUUGUGAUGUAGUCUUCUUAAUGAUUCUUUACGAGUGCCACUGCUAAGCUGUAUGGGGGCUCAUAUCUCUAUGCUUGAUAUGUUAAUGCAGCCUGAUGAUGAUGGUGGAUCCGAAGGUGACAGGGAAAAGGAUGAUGGGCGAGGAAAAGCAACCAAGGUGAACAAGGAGGAGGAUGACAAAAUGAGAACAAACGCUGCAAAUGUUGCUGCAAGAGCUGCUGUUGGGGGAGAUGACAUGUUGUCAAAAUGGCAACUCAUGGCCGAGCAAGCUCGACAGAAACGUGAAGGGGGUCCAGAUACUGCAUCGUCUUCUCAAUCGCCAUCAGAUGGAAGCCAUAAGCCUCAGACAUUGGCUGGAAGGACCAACAAUCAAGAUGGACAAAAGAACCCUUCUUCAGCAUCCUGUACGUUCGAUAAUAUCAUAAAUUCACAUGCUACUGUAUCUCAGAUGUUUUGACUGUCUUUAUUUGUUCGAUAUUGUCAGUGGGUGGUAGAAAAUUUGGGAGAAACGACGGUGCAGCAGCUUCGUUGAGGGAGGACCGGACUUUAUCUAUCAAGGAUGCCAUUGCAGUGAUGGAACGAGAGCCCCAACUGUCCAAAUCGACCUUGAUCUAUAAACUAUAUGAGAAGAUUCGGUCGAAUGUGCCACCUGAGUGAUAUCGACGAACAAUCUGUAAAAUCAACCUGUAUGCAUUAUUUGUUUUCGUAGAUCGGUUGUGUAAGCACUAUAUCGAACGUGCUUGCCGAGUUUGACCACGUCUGUAACAUUAAUAACUUGUACAUAUUGGUGUGAUGAUAUAAGUUAUAACCAGUGGAAAUGUAAGUUAAAUGACUGUUACUCUUUUUCUAUAUGGACUAUAUUUGAAUGUGUGUUUUUUUGCGCCGCAGUCGAUGCCAGGCAAUACAACUUGCCAGACUAGAGAGGAAACACUAAGUAGAAAUUUUGGGUGAUUUGAGUCUCAAAUCUCUAACUUAAAGAAUCGACUUAAAACGAAACUUAUGACAUCGGCAAUAAAAUAGCCAAUGUGGAACUUUAACAACAAACCCGUUUUGGCCUACAAGUACGGACGGUAACAAAAUUAAUCACCCGUUGUAUUCCCAUCUUUUGUUUUGUUUUCCACUUUCCAAUUUCACUUUGGUUGUUCUGUAAAUCUCCUAAUGCAGGACCAGUACCAGGACUCCGCGUACUAUACUGAAGAAUUUUCAUACUGAAGGUUGGCCCAAAAGGGCAGUUUCGUAACUUCGUAUCAAUUUUCUUUGUCUUUUCCUUUUAUUGUCAGAAUUUCAUUUUUCCUAUCUUUUUUAUUUAAUUAAUAUCAUAGCUCAACUCGUAUUUGAAUAAUUUUUACGUCAAAAUCUUAAUUUUUCAAAGACAAUUAAAAUUAGCACAACCUUAAUAGGGUUUCGACGAUAAAAAUGUUCGGCGAUUCCGGCCCGCAUUUGUUGGCACCAGAACCGUCGGCCGGCUGGCUCUAUACGGCAACCAGAAUCCAGCUCUGGCCGGGUAGUGUUAUUGGCUGGAAUUUCGGCCAGGCCGGCAAUAUAUAUANNNNNNNNNNNNNNNNNNNNNNNNNNNNNNNNNNNNNNNNNNNNNNNNNNNNNNNNNNNNNNNNNNNNNNNNNNNNNNNNNNNNNNNNNNNNNNNNNNNNNNNNNNNNNNNNNNNNNNNNNNNNNNNNNNNNNNNNNNNNNNNNNNNNNNNNNNNNNNNNNNNNNNNNNNNNNNNNNNNNNNNNNNNNNNNNNNNNNNNNNNNNNNNNNNNNNNNNNNNNNNNNNNNNNNNNNNNNNNNNNNNNNNNNNNNNNNNNNNNNNNNNNNNNNNNNNNNNNNNNNNNNNNNNNNNNNNNNNNNNNNNNNNNNNNNNNNNNNNNNNNNNNNNNNNNNNNNNNNNNNNNNNNNNNNNNNNNNNNNNNNNNNNNNNNNNNNNNNNNNNNNNNNNNNNNNNNNNNNNNNNNNNNNNNNNNNNNNNNNNNNNNNNNNNNNNNNNNNNNNNNNNNNNNNNNNNNNNNNNNNNNNNNNNUAUUUUUUAAAAAUAAAAAGUAUAGUGACAAAAAUCGAGUCCAACCAUCCAAAUAAUUUUGGUCGAACUGACCGGUCUUUCUGAUCAAAUAAUUACACUAAUUAAUUAUCUAAAUAAUCAAAAUUAAAAAUAUAUAUAUAUUUGGGCCGGCCGGCUAUUUCGGCCGAAGCAUGUCCUAGCCGGUACGUCGUUCCAGUUGUGUACUUGCUUCGGUUGGAAUCGCCGGGAGGCUGGGUUGGUUCCCGACCGACCCCAAAAAGAAUAUUUUCUCGAUUUCGGACCUAAACAGAGGCUCGACAAAUUUUCGAUUUCUUCUUUAGAUCUACGUUUGAGUGUGUUUGAAUUUAGUUUAUCAAUAUACACAACUUCUUACAUAAAUUUUAAUUUUAUGUAGGGUCAAUCACAUAAUUUACUAUAUGUAGAAUGUUAUUUAUUUCAAAAAUUAGGGCGUGAAUUUGAAGAUUCAAAAUAUAUUUGGCAAACAGUUGUACAUAACCAACCGUGACAACUCAACGCCUUUGGCUUUCACUACCGCAAUCCUCCUCUCCCCCGUUCUUGUUUUUGGCUUUUUCUGCGGCCGCUCCUCUUCGACACCUCCGUCUCCGUCACUUCUCCUCCGCCUGAACUCCUCCUCCUACAGUCGCCACGCCGCCGUCACGGGCCCCACCCCUCUUCCACCUACAACAAGAAGAAAAAAAAAGUAUAAGUUCAAAAAAAAAAUUAAAGGGAAGCCAAGAAUAUGCUUUACUCUUCUUUGUAAAUAUCCUGUCCGUCUCCUCAAUUUCUUCUUCUUCUUCUUCCUCCGAUCCUUCUCUUAGUUCUUAAUAAUCCCUCCUCUCCUCCGCUGACUUUCUCCACUGCUCCUGCCCCUUUGUCAUUCUCCCAAUCCUCUCUUUUCGACAGAUAUGGAGCUUUUUCAGGAGCUCUUGAUCACCUUACUUGUUGCUAUUUUCAUCUCUUUUCUCAUCGCCAACGUCGUUUCCUCAAGGAGAUCAGGUGAUCAGAACGGCGUGGGAGGAUUCAGAGAAGAAGUCAUUGCGGAGGAGUUGAAUGAUACCGGACGAUUGGAAGCUACGGGGCUACGUAGCGAAGGGCGAGCUGAGCUUGUUGGAGAAGCAGCGGCAAGAGUUGAGGAAUUUGUUGGAGAACCGGCUCCGGUUGAGGAAGAAUCUAGAGCAGACGAACGCCGUGAAUUGACCGAGAAAGGAAGAGAGGCCGAGAAGGAGGUACAAACACACAGAGAGUUUAUGCCUGAAGAGAUGGAAGAUGGAGUUACGAAAUUGAGCGACGAUCAUCAGAAUCUUGCUGAAGUUACGGCGGAGAAGACUGGAGAAAAAGAAAUCGUUGCUGACGAGGGGAAAGAAGGGAAUUCUGUGGAAGAUGAAGCUGUUGAGAUUGAAUCAGCUCCUCGUACUGAACGACCGGAGGAAAUCAGAAUGGAGGAGGAGGAAGCAAGUGGUGAAGUUGUUGAAGAGAAGAAAGUAGAGAUUGAUAUAGAGGAUGAUUGGCAAGGGAUUGAGAGAAGUGAUUUGGAGAAGGAGUUUGCUAAAGCUGCAAAAUUUGUGGAGUCUGGAUAUGGGGAAGAGAAGUUAGCAAGCGUUGGGAGUGAUGUAGUGAUGCAGCUGUAUGGGCUUCAUAAGCUUGUUACUGAAGGGUCUUGCCAUGAACAGCCACCAAUGGCUCUCAAGCUCUCUGCUCGUGCCAAGUGGUAUUGAGCAUUCCUAAUAUAUUACACCUCUCGCUUCCUUUUUUAUCUUCAUUCUCUGUGCUUGAUAUGAUUUUGCUUCUGAUUGUCAAAUUGGCUGUUUGAAUGAAUGCAUCCUCAAGGCCUGCGAAGUUAAAGAAUGCCUGUGUGUAGGUAGAGAAUGCCAAAGGAAUGGCAUUAGGUGCAGGAUUUAGAUUUUGAACAUGAAAAGCACCGGUGACAAUGUUUGCUUUAAAUUUAGGCGCAGGAAUGAAAUUAUAGGAAAACUAUUCAUCGGCAAUUCGUAUAAGCAGUAAAAGAAAAUGUCAAAUGAUGCCCUUACUUGACACCCCUCCUUGAGCAACUGCAGUCGUCAGCAGAUGCUAGCAUCCCUUCUUCUUCCUUGAGCCAAACUAGUUAAAGGAACAUGGUAGAAUCUCCUGACAUAGUGACAUUCUGACUUCAAUAGUUAGAUUACCCAUGUACCACUAUGCAAUCUAAUAGAAACUUCAGAAGCAGCUGGACAUUGAAAUAGCCACCUAAGUCCCUAAGUCCUAAAGGGUAACUAACAUCCACAGACCUUAGGGACUGCCCACAUGCCAAGUUAGACAGUAUAGUUUGAUUGGUAAGUUAUAAUAACAGGGUUGAAAGCUGCUAUGUGUGAGUGAUGGAAGGUACUGAUUACGUUAUGCAAGGAAUGCGUGGCAGAAGCUUGGAAAUAUGGAUCCGGAGGUGGCCAUGAAGCAGUAUGUCAAUCUUCUAUCAGAUAGUGUCCCACAGUGGGCGGAUCAACAAUCUAUCGUAAGUAUCCCCCCCCAUGGGAACAUGCAAUAGAGCACCAUUAUCCCAAUUCCGGAAUAACUGAUGGUUUGCAGGGAGAGGAGACCAUACCGAUGAUGCCAUUGGAGGCAGUUGAUGCUUCCACAGCUUCGUCUCAUCGCACUAACUUCCCCUAUGAAGAACGGUAAUAAUGGGUGGAGCAUGUUUUGUAUAAAGGUUCUAUCGAGUUCCUACUGGUUUACAUUUCGUUGCUGUUGCUUUAUUGAUGCUUUAGUCUUUCUCUUGUCUUCCCUUUUUUUGGUCAUCAAUCUAGUGGUUCAGAACCCAAGUAUGAUUCCGAAACAAGUGAAUCGACUGGUGUCUCGACUUUGGAGAAUAAGGUAAGGCUCUAUCUCUAAAGCAGUGGACACCACAACAAACUUUGCGAUUUAUUAAUGAGAAGAGUCAUGGUCACAGAACUUGACACAGUGUGCACAAAUUUGCAGGUUAAAGAAUGAGACGGAUAAUAAGCUUUAACGAUUGGAGGUGCCCAGUGAUGUGCACCUCGGUAGCCAAUUAUUUAUAGAUGGUAAUCGAUUUCCAGUUGGUUGACAGCCGCCGACACUAAUUUGUGAUCCGCAAAUGAGGAGUCGGUGCGUACGGUUUGCUGUUCUGUCUCUUUACUUGAUUUAUGUUAAGUGUCCCAAGGAAAGGAAAGGCUAAUGUAGUGUGCAUAUCAUCUGCAUGUGUAAAUAAAUUCAUCUGUGAAGUGAACGUUUGUCUGUGUUAAGUGGCUGUCUCUCUAUAUAUAAAAGAAAUAUCAUUCAGUCCCCCCCCAUAUGGUGGUUGGGAAAUUUGGAACAAUACUUUUUCCUUUCCCCUCGAAACUAUAAGGCUUCGUGUCGAUAGUUGGACUUCCCCCUUCGUAAGGUUUUAACUGCGACUAUCUCGCGGAUUUUACGUGCUUCUCCUUAUAUCUCAGUUAGGUUCCUCCUUCGUAAAGAGAACUUCAAAGUAUAUUGGGUUGCUCGUAAUGCCUCGGCAAAAUCUUUGCCUUAGAAUUAGAUUGUUAUGUUACCUUACUAGACUGAUCACCGGUCAGUUGGCCGCUUUAUAUUUUAUUAAUUUGUUUACAUUUUUAUUUUUUGAAUUGGUGUUGUCAGAAUUUGAAUGAUCAAUGAGUAUACUUGAAUUGUUGAAUCCAAAAAUUAAAUUUUAAAUAAUUUUAAGUUAAUGUAGUCUUAAAUUUAAUAAGAGAAAGGCAAAGACGAUGUAAGUUGUACAAUAAUCUAACAUUGUAUUAGAAAUGAAGUUUUGUAGAUUGUGGUUGGUCCAGUCAGUAAUUGUAAAUAAAUAAAAAGUUAUAAAUCUUACAAAAUUUUAUGUCAUACACUUGCUAUCAUUAACAUUGUUUUCUUGUUGUUCAUCGAUUGAUCUUGAUGGACUUUACUUUUUUAGGUUAUUGUUAUCAUUAAAUUUUGAAGGAUAAAUUAAUAUAUUUAAAUAAAAAUAAUUAAAUUUAUGAAGAUACUAAACUUNNNNNNNNNNNNNNNNNNNNNNNNNNNNNNNNNNNNNNNNNNNNNNNNNNNNNNNNNNNNNNNNNNNNNNNNNNNNNNNNNNNNNNNNNNNNNNNNNNNNNNNNNNNNNNNNNNNNNNNNNNNNNNNNNNNNNNNNNNNNNNNNNNNNNNNNNNNNNNNNNNNNNNNNNNNNNNNNNNNNNNNNNNNNNNNNNNNNNNNNNNNNNNNNNNNNNNNNNNNNNNNNNNNNNNNNNNNNNNNNNNNNNNNNNNNNNNNNNNNNNNNNNNNNNNNNNNNNNNNNNNNNNNNNNNNNNNNNNNNNNNNNNNNNNNNNNNNNNNNNNNNNNNNNNNNNNNNNNNNNNNNNNNNNNNNNNNNNNNNNNNNNNNNNNNNNNNNNNNNNNNNNNNNNNNNNNNNNNNNNNNNNNNNNNNNNNNNNNNNNNNNNNNNGUAUAAAACGGGGAAAUUUUUUUGGGUUUUAUUAGUCAAUAAAUAAAAGAAGGGAGAGGAGAGGAAAGUGGCAGUUUGUCCUACGUGGCAAGUUGCAAAUAAUGAAAAUACAUAAUAUAUAUAGGACAGUAGGAUUCGAGUAGCAACACGUAGUAGUUAUCGAGCGUCAGAGUUUUAUUUUAAGUUUAUUAGAAUUUUAUUUUGAGUUUAUGAAGAUUUUAUUUUGACCUCACAAAUAUUGUUUUAUAUAGAUCUUGUGAUAUGUUCCAUUCUUCAAUUAAUAUAAUUUUAAUUAUGUCACACUUUCAUUUUUCUAAUAUAUUUUUUAUAACAGAAUAAAAAUUUAUUUAUCUUUGUUUAUUCUCUACUACUUUCUCCAACAUUACGCAAAUAAUUCUAGUUGAGAAUAACCCUAUUAGAUUGGGAGUAAGGGUCCCCGUAGCUCUAAAAUUUAGUCAACUAAUUAUGAAGAUGUGCAAGUUUUGAGGGAGACAUCAAUAGUCAUCAGCUGGUGGUCGAGUGGUUGAGGGAUAUGAUCAUUUGCGUACAUUGUUUGGUUGAAUACGAUCAUUUGACCUAAUUAGGUUUUGAUAUCAUGUCAUGAACGGUUACAUCUCAAUUUUUAAUAUUCAUUCGGCCGUCAUGUUCCAGUUGUGGCCAAACACGAUGUACAUAUAUAUAUGAUUUCAUGCUUUCGAUAUUGAAAAUAAUGGUGCAGUAAAUGAUAGGGACAAAACAGGCAUCGACGAUGAAAAGAAGAAAUUGCUUUCAGAUAUACAUCAAUAAUGUAUAGAUAGUGACCAUAAUAAUCCAAAUAUGUGAUUAUCUAUUCACUCAUUCAUAACAAAACAAACAAUCAUCCAUUGAUUCAAACCUUCAAUACCUACCUAAUCAAACAUCUACUUAAUUGUCUACUCUUUCAACUCCUAUGUCUAAUCAUAAUUACUCAUUUAUCUACUCACAAUUUUGUACUAUGGUAUUAUAAAAAAAUAUUGUCCUAUGGGUCGGCUAGACCGUCUUCGUGGGUUCAAAGAGGACGACAUCUCAUUUCAGCGGGGUGUAGAUGGGAAGACAGCCCAUCGUAGCGGGGUUUAAAUGGGAUGGUGUCAUAUCGACGAACAUAUGAUCCGCUGAGAUGGGCUACCGUCCCAUCUGAACCCCGCGGCGACAGUCUCGCCAUCUGUUCUCGAUAACAAUAUGAAAAUGGACGAUCGACAGUGGAUAAUGAUGGAAGCUGGUGAGUAUAUGCCGACAUUAAAAAGAUUAUCGAAAAUUUUAUGCGGAAAAAAUUGAGAAGAUUAAAUUUAUGGUUUAUGUUUAAUAUGGGCACUUAAGUUAUUUACAAUACUCAAUUUUUUUUUAAAAAUACUAAAGAAUAAAAUAGUAAGUAAUCAUUAUAUUUUUUGGGUGAAAAUAAGCGACAAUUAUUGUUGGUGGCGAUGAAGAGGAAAAGGGUGGCCGGGAGGGUCUAAUCGAGGCUAAAAGUAAAGUAUAAUAUCACAAGAAGAAGAAGACAAAAUGGGAAAAAGGAGCCACCACGACACAACGCUGUCAAGCGUUGGUUAUGACUACAACUUUUUUAUUUUAAGCUAUACGAUAUACUUUACCAACGUUAUAUCGAUGUGUACAUAGCUUGAACAGUAUUAAUAAGUUAUUUAGGAGGUAUAAACCUCACAGAUAAAGAUACAUAAAAUUUAGAUCGUUAAAUUAAUUUAUAAACAAUUUCAUUUCUUUUUUUUUUAACAUAUCAUAAUGAAAAAUUCUUCCCAAACCCGAAAUAACUCCUCUUAAAUUGUAGUUUUGUAUUUGUUCUUAACACUGUUUGCUUAUAUGUUUAGAAUAAUAAUAAUAGUAAAAGACUUAACGAAAACCAGUAAAAGGGCAGCCUAAAAACGCUUUCGAAUGAGAGGAGAACCCUAGUUGUGCUGCCCUUAUGCCUUCGUCAACAAUCCCAAGCCACUACGGUGCCUCUGCCAACAUCUCGAUGUUUGCGGCACCGUCACCUUCAACACUGGCCCAUCAACUUGCCCUCGCCGAUGGUGCAGGACGCGACAAGUCCGCCAGAAACCACCGUCCAGCACCAGGCCACUAUGUCAGAUCGUCAUCGAGAAAAGCUGGACAUGACUCCUCAGAAGCACCAAGCACCAGUCAGCUUCGAGCGAUUGGUAUGCCACAUUGAAAACCGGUGUUCUAACCAGCUGAGAUCCUAGCCUCCUUCGACGGUUAUCUAAUAAGGAUGAUCUUUAUCCAAGUUUUACUAGGUCGUUCUUUCUUUACUGUCUUCAGUCCCUUCGUGUUGCUUUGUUAGUUUUCAACUGUCUUGGGUUGCUUAGUUUGAUUGAUUGCCUGUUAGGCCGGAGAGGAAGGAUUGAAGUCACUUAUUCAUAAUGAUCCGCGACCCAUGUAAUCUCGUUAGUGAAGACUGCACCUCCGAUAAGAUAUCUUGUGCGUUCUACUACUACUGCUUUACUUCGGAAAUACAAGAAUUGAGGAUUUGAAUUGUAAAAAAAAAUAAAGACUUAACAUCAAUAAUUAUAAACUACACAUAAUAAUGCGUGCCUAACUAGUACAAUCAAACCACAAUCUCUUUAUCAUUAUUAUCUCAAGGAUACGCUUCAAAAGCCUCUGCCCACUGCCCACUAUCAUUUGAUCAUUCAUUCCCCCCACCACCACCACCAUUAAUAUACAGCUGAACAAUGAUAACAGUUGCAAGAUUGUGUGACAUCCCUCAUUAGCCUAAAAUAGAACAGUUCAGUAACUGUAGAUGAUGAUCAAUCGCACUGAUAAUUAAUGAAAUAUAUAUAUAUAUAUAAAAUCCAGAAAAUGAAAUGGGUUGGUGCCUGUGAAUUGUGAUGAUAAUGGUUGUCAAAUACCCAAUAAUUAUAAUGACCACUGGUUUUGAGUUUAAUGCAAGUGGUACCACGUAAUGAAUCCACUAAGGUCAAGAUUUGGACUCUUGAGAUGACCACCAAACAACCUUUUUCAAUUAUAACUUUAGUGGUUAUCUAGUUAGUAUAUAUGCGUAUAAGCACAACACACGGGUGGGGACGACGAGUAUGAAUUAUUGAACACCCCCCAUUAAUCAAAAGAUGUGAACACAAGCAGAAGCCCGUAUUGAUAUUGUCCUCUUGCUUGUGUUAAAAUGGAAGAAGCAAAUUCACAUCACUGAUGAGAUAGAUUUAGAGGUAUUUUGGUCGAAAUAAUUUGUUUUGAGUUAUUUGGGUUAAAAUAUCUUGUUUGGUAUCCAACACAAAAUUUAUGGUAUUUCAAAUAAUUUAUUUUCGAGUUAUUUCAGAUAUCUCAUCAAAAUAACUAGUUUGGCAAUCAAAACGAAAUAUGUGGCAUUUCGGUAUGUGGUAUUUGAAAAAACUCGUUUUUUAAUUAUUUUAAAUGCCUCCCCACCAUCUAGGUAUUUGAAAUAUCUCACUAUUUUAAGAAUGUAGUAUUUUCGUUAUCAAAUACCACAUUGAAUAACUCAUUAACCAAAUAAGAUAAUUCUCAUACCACAAAACCUUUACAUCAUAUAAAUACUAUAUUUUCAAAUAAUGUAUUAUUUUAUUCUAAAAUACUAUAUAUUUAAAAUACUUUAUCCAAACUAUCGAUUAAUGGAGAUUCAUGCUGAUCUUAGUUUAUUCACUGAAGAAUUAAACAUGAUUGCUAAUUCUCAACCACAUAGGUAGUAAUUAAAUUAUUAAAAAGACACAGACAGGUAGUAAAGUGAAAAGUGCAGGAAAUUAUUGUGAUUCGAGGGAUUCGCGGAUAUGGAAAAGCAAACAAAUUAACAAAAAAGUAUUGAUUUCGAAUACAAAAGUUAAAACCCACCGGUCUACGUCAGAGUUCACUACGAGCUCCAUUCUGGAGUCAAAUAUAUUGCUUUGUAGAUUUAAUUUAGGAGUAAUUUGGGCUUUUUAAUCCACAUUAUUUAAGAGUUAAGAUUGAUUAUUUAGGGUUAAUAUGGUCAUUUUAAAUAUUUUGUGAAUUAUAAUCCAACAAUUCUCGAUUGCCGGAUCACCAUCUCAGGUGAUUGGACUACCAUCUAUGUUUACCGAAAAGUUUUUCAAUUAAUUUUCCGGUGAUUCUGACCUCUAUUGAUGAAAAUUUUUGCACCCAUGUGAUCAAUUUCCUCAGCUCUAUGUUUUUGGAAAUAUUUUCUAACAACAGACCAUACAAAUUUGUACAAAGAGUUGCACGGAUCAAUAAAAAUUUGCAUAGGUUUGUACCAACAUGUACANNNNNNNNNNNNNNNNNNNNNNNNNNNNNNNNNNNNNNNNNNNNNNNNNNNNNNNNNNNNNNNNNNNNNNNNNNNNNNNNNNNNNNNNNNNNNNNNNNNNNNNNNNNNNNNNNNNNNNNNNNNNNNNNNNNNNNNNNNNNNNNNNNNNNNNNNNNNNNNNNNNNNNNNNNNNNNNNNNNNNNNNNNNNNNNNNNNNNNNNNNNCAAUUUAAAAAAAAAAGUGAAAAUGAUCAAUUUUCAUAGGUUCACGCUUUUGGAAAUUGAUCAUUUCCAUACGAAAAUUGAAAAAGUUUAAAUUGGCUAACAUUUGACUGUGGAUGUUAGAAAUUGUUAAAAAUUAAUAUUUGACUAUUUUAGAUCCUUCAAAUAAUAGUCUAAUAAAAUUAAAAUACAUGUUUUCUGAGAUUGUACAACAAUGGUGUUAUGUUACUGUUUAAAAUUUUCAAAUUGGCUAAUUUGUUGCAUGCAUAUUGGAAACAGUUAGAAAUCUAAAUUAAAUUAUGACAAACCUUUAAAUAUUGACUGCCGAUAAAAGAGUUUAAAUUAGCGACUUGAUCAUGUAACAUACAUUUUCACAUUUAUCAUAUAAUUCAAUAUCAUUCAAAACAUUAUUUGUAGUCAUUAAUAUGUUUUGUAUUGCUUUUGUAUAAAAUAUAAUAUAAAGUAUUAUACUAAAUACUGUAAUAAAUAUUUUACUACUUAAUAUACAUAUUUGUAUGAUAGUGAAGUGUCUGGUAUUUGUGAAUAGAUGCUUUAAUAACACAAAAAUUAAUGGGAAAGAAAACUUAAUCAUGUCAAUCAUGUCAAUGUGGGACCUUUACCUAAAACACAAAGAGGCCACAGCUUUUUUAUAUUUGAAGAUGCACCUGGGUUUGCUUCAAUUGGGGAAUCCAAUAGAAUCUCUUUACCUCUCUAUGCAGCAGCACCAGAGUACAGAACCUGAAAACAAACCACACAGCACAACAAGUCCAAGAUGAAGCCAGCAACAACAUUAUUCCUCUGUUUCUUAUAUGUCGCAUACAUGGCAGCAGCAGCAGAUGAAGCAACGAACCAGAGGUCUAACCAGAAGACCACUACUUACAUAAUUC
rnacentral:lncRNA from 1 species